AAUAUAUAAUGUAUGUGUAUAAAUUUAAUUUUUUAUAUGUUGAAGUAGACACCUAAUAUAUGUAAAAAUUGUGUUUUUUUUAGAAUAAUAUGUAAAAAUUGUGUUGGGAGAGCUAGUAAGAUGUAAGCUUCUUUUUUUUUUUUGUGUUCUCUGGAAAGUCAUAUAUAUCUGCUUUGAUCAUACAUAUCAUUUUUAGAGUGACAAAACAUUUUUAAUAAGUAUAAAUAAUGUAACAAAAUCUUAAUCCUUAAUAAGGAAUUGCAUAGUUGGGCAAAAAGGAAGCAUGGGAAUAACUUAUAUUAUCACAUUGAAUCAUUCUACAAAAUAUUGCAAAAAGGGCUUGGAAAUAAUUAAUGAGAAAUGGUGCUUGUACACCUAAAAAUAUAUGAGCAAUUUUAAUUGCUUGUACAAGCACCAUUUCUCAAUUUUAAUAUAUUGCAAACAAAAAAAAAAAACUUGUCUGAACUAUAAGCAAUUUUAAUUUGGCUACCCAACUUUUCAAAAUUUUGAUUUGGCUACCCAACUUCAAAUGUUUAAGUCCUUGCAAAUAUUAAUUAUCAAAAGAAUUGGAUAGCUAAUUCAGAUUAUUCUCAUCAUUUGACCGGUGAUAAGUGUAAGUUUUAUGAGUUUAUUCACUAUGAAGGAAAUGAUGUUAUUGUAACAGUUGACAACAUAGUUCAUCGAGUGGUAAAUGAAAGUGUCGUGAAGAUAGAGGAUGGAGUCAUCUUGAAAAGCGUUUAUCAUCUGCUCGGCAUGGUGUCUUAAUAUUCUUGGUGAAGUUGAUUAAAUUCAUAUAUGGAGAGUGUAAGAGGCUUACAUGUGGCAGGCAUACUAGGAAUAUUAAUUGGGCUUAAGCAUUUGGGCCAAUGGUUCGAACUUAGCGAGUUAUUGAUGCUAGUAGGCUAGGUUAUUACAAUGCGACAUGCAGUUACUGUAUAAUUACUCUAAAACUGCGAAAGAGCUAAUUUUAGAUUUUUUUUCCACUCUUGAGAUGCCAUAACUAUUUUUUUCCGAAAGAUCUUUUUACUCUUCAUGUGAUGCUCCAAUAGUCCCACAUCAGAUUGAAAAGAAAAAAUGAUUGGGAAUAUAAAGAUUAAGGGCUUUAUACAAUAUUGGUAAUUGGGCUUAAACGCUUUAGGCCGGUGAUUUAGGUCCAAUAAGUUAUGAGGGCUUUAUACAAUAUAAGUUAUUGGUAAUUGGCCGGGCUCCAUCCCCUUCUCAAAUAUAUGUCAUUCUUGGAGCUAACCAACCCCAUUUCCAGCUCCCAUUGAGACUCAGAGAUCGGCGACCCCACCGGCUUGAAGUUCGAGUUAAAGGAUGGAGGUUUUUGCCUUGAGCGAGCUAUUUUUCAUGUUAGGGCUCGAAACUCUAAGUAAUCCUCUUUCAUGUUAGUUUUUUUUUUUUUUUUUUUUUUUUUUUUUUUUUUUUUUUCCUGAUUCUAGAUUUGGAUGGGAUCUUGCGCUUUUUGGUCUUUUGUUUGGUAUGAUUUAAAUUUAAUUUUGGUAUUUUGGAUUGUGCGCAGUCGAUCAUCGCAGCUACCUACAGAUAGAUUGACUAUGAAUAGGGGUGUAAUGUGGGUCGUACUUAAAACCCAGAUAGGAUGGCUACGAGUAGGGCGUGUAAUGUGGGCCGUAUUAAGCCAGCACGACCCACAUUUUUGGGUUGCGACGGGCUAGGAACUAGCGUGCCACGGCCCAUUUUCGAAUUUGGGUUGGGCCAUGUUGGGUUGGGUUUUUCAAAUCCCCAACCCAGCACGAGCCGUUCUAGGUCGGGCAGGGCUCCAGGCCGUCCUUUAUUUAUUUAUUUAUUUUUUUAAAAAAAUGCAUAAAAUUUAAAUAUAAAAAUUAAAUUAUUUUGAAACAACAUUUUUAAUCAAUGUAUAAAAUUUGUAAUAAUGUUUUGAAAAUAAUUAAAAUGUUAAAAUUUUAUUAUAAAAUUAUAAAAAAUAAAUAUUGUUGAACCAAAAUACUCUUUUCAAUAAUUAAAUUUUUGACUACCGGGAAGAACAUUUUGGUCCAAAUAGGAGAUCUUGGGAGAGGCCCAAGGUUGUGACAGAUUUUAGAAAGAGCCCAACCCCAACUGCCACAAGGCAUACCUUAGGUGAAGGGAAACUCUGAACCGGCCCAAACCCCAAGGCAUGAGGACCUAAUCUCAGGCCUUUGCGGUUGGGCCGGGCCGGGCCGACCCAGCAGAUACAGGUUGUGUUGGGUCGGGCCGCGGGCUGAGCUGUCGGUCUCGCAUAGCCCAGAUCCGUUGUAGGCGGUGUCGUGCCGUGCCGGGUCGACAGGCCUAGAAGACUUGUCCGAGCACGGUCCAAUGUAGCGGGUCGGCCCGGCCUGGCCCGCUGUCGUGCCACGAGCCGCCCGAUCCGUUUGACACCCUUAGCUACGGGACAUUGUGGUCAUCAAAUUUCGGGGGCAAUCGACUCUAUGGAAGCAAUCGACCAAGUCUGAAUCCGAGGUCGACCAAACAGUUUUAUUUAUGAGCUUCGUCUUCAACUUCUAUCGAUCCCCUAUGCAACAACAGAACUGUGUGAGUCUGUGAGUUUUAAAUUAAGGUGUAUCUCUUAUUAAUUAUUGUAACUAUCCUCUUAUGUUCAUGUCAGACGCAUAUGCAUUAUGAAUGCCAUAAUCACAUCCGUACAUUCUCAGGAAUUAUUAGGAAAUGCAUCAAAAAUUAGUAGACUCGAUUAGACGUUAUAUUGUAUGGUAUGGAUUUUAUUAUACGCGCCGGCUCGCGCUAGCACCCGCGCCCGCUCGCGCUCCGUGCCCGUCCCGGUCUGCACCCCGCGCCCACCCCGGCUCGCGCCCGUGCCCGUCCGCGCCGGCACAUCCGCUCCUCGCUGGUGGGCCCCACCGGACCCUCCAAACGCAGGGAGAGAACCGUACAGACUCUCAUUUCACUUAUUUGUAUAGAUGUGCAUAUAUACAGAGGGAUAGCAACAUGUUAUGUUCAUAUGUAGCUAGCAUAUUACAUCGAGUAGGGUUUGUCCAGUUGAGACUUGGUUAUGAUUAUGGAUGAGUCAUGUAUGAUGCCGGUUGGGCACAGUACAGUUGGGGUAGUUUGUGUGGCAUUGUGAGAGCUGCCAUAAUAAACAGUAAAUUAAGUUUUUCUCUUGAGUAUUGAUUUUGUAUAUGUGCCGGACAGAGGCCCGAGGAUUUUUGGUAGAGUCAAGAACUUGAGAUAUAUAGGAAGCGAUAUGAUUAUGUGUAAUCAUCUGACUCAAAAAAUAAAAAAAAAAUCAUUCAGUGCUUAUUAGUGAUAGUGUCGUGGUCAUGAGGUGGAGUGAAAAUUAAUUUAGAAUAGAAUACAGCAAGGCGAUGCACGCCAAGUUCAGUAGGUCUGGAUAUGACCUAACGUUGCUAAGUGUGUUAGGGCUAGAUCUGAUCCUAACCUUCAUAUUUAAGGAUAGUCAAGUACGGGUAAGGUGCCAGCGGGCGAUACUCUGCUGGGCAACACUUUUCAUAUCAAAUUAGUUGGGACGGUCGGUGUGUUUCAGGGUAGCCGAAUACAUAUUGAACUAGAGAGAUACGAUUCAAAUAGUAUUAACUGCAUGUUGGGAAUCCGGUACUCCUCCUGGUAUCGGAUUUUGUGAAUCCGUAACCGGCUCCGAUACUCACUGCUGUGUAUUCGGUACCGGUUGUUGGGAUUCCGCAACGGAAGUGUCGAAUCGGAUUUUUACCAUAAACUCGUCUUCUCAGCAAAAACUGAUAUAAUCAUAAAAAAGGAAAAACAACCAAGCAGAAAAUAUGCGGAUAAAAUAAGAUUCAUUAAAUAAGAGAAAAUUAUACCUGACUUCUCUUCUGCAACAGAUUAGCUACAAUUCCAAGUCCUUUUUUUGAAUCUCUCCUAUCCUUCUCUCGUCUUUUAUAGUCUUAGGAGACAUCUAUCUCAUCCUUUGCAUCCGUGCAUAAGGAAUACCAAUGACCCGCGGCUACGAAAUUCGUUUACGUCCUCUUGCACUCAUGCAUUAGGUGCAUCCAAAAUUAUGAUCACCUUAGCCAUGCCAUAUGGAUGUGGCUAAUCUGUACCACCACCACCACAAUAAUAACACAUAUGCUAUAUUUAUAGCUUACAUAAAAAAUUACCGAAAUUCUAAUCUAAUUAGAUUUCUACUCUCAUUAAUAUUUAAAUCUUAAUUUGUCUCCAACAGAUUUAAAUACAAAUUCUAAUUCAAUUAAAAUUUAACUAUAAAUUUAAUCAAAUCCUAACAUUAACAAGGAUGAAUAACAUAUUCCAGCAUUGGUCAAGUACAUUAUGAUGAGUUAUUCAUGAUGCACGGUGUUAAAGGUAGGAGGUGAUAGACAGCCCAUGUGCAUGUUAUUAGUUGGCCCAGUAUUGGAGUAUUGGAGGUCCCUGUGUGUCAUGAUUGCAGAUUGUUGUCAAUAUCAGAGGGGCAUGUAGACAUCAGUAUCAUCAGUACAUGAGAGAAUUUGGUUUAGUUUAUAUCAUUCAAUAGAUGCAUUUAAUUAGUACAUAUUCAUUAGUAUAUUGGUAAAAUAUAUUACGUGUAUAAAUACUGAACGCAUAAAUCAAUUAAUUGAAUAUUAAUUUUUUUAAGAUAAUAUCCUAAUCACCUGAGACAUGUGCCCAAUCUGGUAAGCGAACAUGACUAGAUGGCGAGCGGAGAGGAGAUUAUGUGGCGAGAUGGUACAGUUUCAGUAAUAUGUAUUUUAGGAAUAUGUUUAGCGGAUAGGAUUGGAUGGUAAGCGGAGAGGCGAUUGAGAGUAUCUACAGUACAUGGUAGAAAAUGAAGGACCAGAACUGUAACUGUGGAAACAGUUACAGCAAAAAACUGUAAAUGACUCAAACUGUGAAACAACCGUUGUACUCUAAAAGCUUAAGCUAUUAGAGAACGGACGUAUGGGAGACUUUUUAAUCUGCCGAUGACGUGGGCUUGAAUUAAAUGAGAGGAAAUUAAUAUGCUAGAAGUCUGGCGUGAUUCGAACUCAGGACCUCCUGCUCUGAUACCAUGUGAAACAACCGUUGUACUCUAAAAGUUUAAGCUAUUAGAGAACGGUGUUUAAACAUUUUUAUAUUUAACAAAAACAAUUAUAACCGAAUUCCAUAAACAGCCGAAGCUGAAACCCAUAUCCACACUUUGCUCAUUAUAAAUAGAGGGGGAUAAGAUGUAAAGGAUUUUAUUGAAAAAUAAUAAGAAGAAACUUUCCUUUCUCUUCUUUUUUAUCUCUUCCUCGCUCAGAGCUCUCCAGGGAUCACCAUUAUUGAUUCCUCUGUGCUCAAGCCCUUGUUGUUGACCUGCAUCAUUGGUAUCAGAAUUCCAACUUAUUGGCUUAAAUGGGCCAACAUCCUGCCCUGUGGCGGGGGGUCAUGUGGGUCGAGUCAUGUUCGAAAUGGCGUGAGGCUGGGUUGGGUCGAGUCAUGUUCAAAGUGGCGUGAGGCCAGGUGGGUCAAGUCACAAUCGAGACCCGUGGGCGCUGUUUCUGUACACUUUAAGUGAAUUGGUUGCGUAUUUCUAACAGCUCGAGCUUUUAGGAUUAAUGGUUAACGCCAACAAUCUGACAAUGGUAUCAGAGCCAGAGGUCACGGGUUCGAUUUUUGCAUGCUGCAAAUGUGUGCAGGUGCUGGAGUGGGGAUUAUUGGCUUAAAUGGGCCAGCAUCCUGCCCUGUGGAGGGAGGUCAUGUGGGCCGAGUCAUGUUCGAAAUAACGUGAGAUUGAGUUAGGCCGAGUCAUGUUCGAAGUGGCGUGAGGUCAGGUGGGCCGAGUCAUAAUCGAGACCCGUGGGCGCUGUUUCUAUACACUUUAAGUGAAUUGAUUGCAUAUUUCUAACAGCUCGAGCUUUUGGGAUUAAUGGUUAGCGCCAACGAUCCGACACAACUUAAUUUCUUUCACUCUUUGCAUUAAGUCAGUGGUAACAGCUGAUACUGCAUCAAUGCUAGGCCUCCUGGAGAGUGCAUUGGCAACUAUAUUAUCCUUUCCAUUCUUGUAGACUAGCUCACAAUUAUAUCCUAUUAAUUUUGCUAGCCAUUUUUGCUGGCUGGGAGUAGUAAUUUUUUAUUUUCAGAAAAACUUUAAGCUUUGGUGGUCGGUAUUUAUCAAAAAGUGCCUAAAGAUGUAAGGUCGCUAUUUUUGUACUGUCAUAAUAAAUGCUAGCAUUUCUUUUUCGUAAGGAUAAUCGAUUCUGAUAAAAUAACACCAAUUAUAACAAUCCGACUCACUACCAAUAAUAACUCGUUGGGUCCAAAAUUUUUAAGUUCAUUUAUUAUUAUUUUUAGGGUGCGUGGUCUUUUAUAUUUUCAAUAAGAAUUUUUUUUUUUCAACUGAUGUGAAAUUAUUGAGGCAUUACAAUUUAAGUGAUAACAUGUUUUCUCACUUUCCUAAAUUUUUUAUAAAAAUUUAAAUUUAAAUUUGAAUUUGAAUCUUAUGAAAGUGAACGCAUAUACGAUCAGAACAGAGAAGGUUUGGUCCGCGCUAAGUAAUUCAGACUAAAAGCAAAGAAGAACAAUCCUCGCAUAUCCAUUCAACAUGUAGACUACCACGUUAGACUAAAUGUGUGAUGUGGCUAAUUUUAUCACGUUAGAUAAUGCUUUAUGUACCUCAAAAGGGUCCUGUAUUAUUUUGGUAAAUUAUUCUUAAUAAGUUAUUUUGUACGUAGAACAAUCUAUAUCAGUUUAGGAGGUGUUUGUUUCCUCUGAUAGCUCGGAAAAAAAUUUAAAAAUUUUUCAGAGUUUUCGUUAUUUGGAUAAAAACUUAACUCUGAAAACGAAAAUACUAAUUUUUCAUAGAAUAUGAAAAAAACUAAUUUUUUUUAGAAAAUCAAAUAGAUAGAAAAAUAUUUUUUAGCGAAAAAAUUAUUUUCCGACAUAUUUUAUAGGGAACCAAAUACACCCUUAGCUUAUGUAAUAAACAUAUUCUCAUAUGGCAAAAUUUAAUAAAAAGUUAGCCAAAAUGCCUGUGUACAGUGCUUAACAUUCAUUAACUAAAAUUGUGUGUCAUCUUCGGAGGAAUAUUCUUUUCUUUUCUUUCUUUAAUUUUUUUUUUUUUCCUUUCCCUUCUUUUGAAAAGUCUUUUAAGUAUUAUCUAUAAUAAAAUGAACUUAAUGAACAAGGAAUUAAGAUGAUUCUAUUUCAUAUUUGCCCUAAUAAAAGUGAUCUCAAAGUGAUGAAGCAUUCUUUUUCUUUUUUUUUUUUUGUUCCUCUUUUUAAUUAGUUGACUAAUGCAAAAUGAUAUAUAUUUUUUUCUAGUCUUUUUUAUUAAACUUGUACUUUUGUUGACUACAUAAAACUCUAUGCAGGUUAGUUAGUGGUUGCAAUUUAAUUUCUGCGUCUUUAACGAACAAGCCACUUCUCCAAACUCAAUUAUUUGCAUUAUUUUUGUGUUUAGCUUAUUAAUUAAGUUCAUUAUUGUCACUAAAAAUAGUACUUUUCCCUAUAUAUAUAUAUAAAGAGCUUUUCCCUAAAGCUUCUUUUUGGGAAAAGCAGUUUAUGAAGCAUCCUCUCUCCAUUAACUUGCUACCAAAGUAUGAAACUAUUGGUUGCAGGUGGUGUUUAGAGAUCUCCUUAAUUGAAUGCUUAGCUUGCACCCCAUUUUUUUUCUUUUUUCUUUUUUCUUUUUUUUUAAAAUUUAUUUUUUGGUUGUGUUUUGUGUGUGUGUUGGUGGAAUUGCUUGGGUGAAGCACUUAUAUCUCUUGAAUAUAAAUUAAUCUAUUGCUAAUAAUAAAGGAGAGAAAAAUAUACUUAGUGUUUUGUGUGUUUCACAUGCUAAUUUUCAUUAAUUUGGUGGAGGCAUGCACUAUUGGUUGCUUGAGCUUGGCAUAGCUACAUUGGUGGAAUGAAAAAGGAGGUAGGCAAUGAGGAGGAAGUACUCUUUUUAUUCAAAACUAGUGAAGGACCUGCACGUUGCAGCGGAACGAUUUCGUAAAAAUAAAUAAAUAAAUAAAUAAAUAAAAUAAAAUAAAAAUAGAGUCAAAGAAGUAUAUAUAAAAAAAUUAAUUGAAAAAUAAGCAAUUAUUGCUGCAAUAAAAAUAUAAAAAUAAAUUAUAAGAAGGACUAAAAAAAUAAGGACAAAAAUUAUACGAAUUUGUUAUCUUGACUAUUAAAAAUCAUGCAAUAAAAUUUUACAUUUAUUUGUUAUAUUGACUAUUAAAAAAUAGAAUUAAUCCAUGUAAUAAAAUUUUACACUUGAUUUAAACUAAAAUAAAAAAGAAAAGAUGUUAGGAAAAAAAUAAAAAAAGAAAGUAAGAAAGUGAGAGAGAGAGAGAGAUUGAGAGUGUUGAGAGAAAGAAAAUAAAGAGAGAGAGGGAAAAAAAAAAAGAAGGUGGGCCCGCCGCCCCCUCCCAAAAUGCGGGGAGAGCUCUUUAGGCUCUGCUUUCAUGUAUUGUAUAGAUAGAUAUACUUAGAAGUUGUUUCAACUCCGAAGAUUAUUUGAAUCUUUGUUUUUCUAGUAUCAAGAAAAGCAGGCGAAUUACAAGUAGCUUGGUAUUAAUUUCAGCACUUAUGUUCACGUGUAUUGUCAAUAUAAGAGAUAAUAAAGGAGACGGCAAAAUGUAGACAGAAAUAUGAUCUUCUAUGUGGGAAGGAGGCUUAGGACAAGCUCUAAUAUUGUGUGCUAUACGAGUGGGCUGGUAUGCUUAUAUGGAAGCACGCGAGCCUCCGUGCUUCCAAGUUGUUUUCGAUGUUCGACUUUCGAAUCGACGAUCGGCUUCGUUAGAGUUGAUCUAGAGUAUUUGAAGUACCUAGAAAAAUAAAUUUUGUGAUUUUUCGAUAUUAUUUGCCUAGGAUCGAAGGGGCUCAAAAUCAAUAAUUUUAACGGCCGUGGAGCCGGUUGCAAAUUUAACGGUGUAAGAAUAUCCAAAUCACAUAAAAUUUUGACAGAGAUAAUUCUUUAUACUAUAUAAAACAAGAUCAAUAACUUUGAUCUAAAAUUUUAAUGUCAUAUCAUCAUAUUUUGUAAGAUUUUUAUUUUCAGCCGUUGAUUUUGAGCCACUUCGAUUACUAGGCAAAUGAUAUCGAAAAAUCGCAAAAUUUAUUUUCUAGAUACUUCAAAUGCUCUAGAUCAAGUCUAACGGAGCCGAUCGUCGAUUCGAAAGUCCGAACAUCAAAAACAAAGUGGAAGCACGGAGCCCUCCGUGCUUCCAUAAGCAUCCUAGCCGCACUCCUGUGCUAUAUAAAUGAUCUAUAGUGAAAAAUACACCGCAGUAAGUUGGCUUAAUUCUAAAGAUUUGAGUCCAGUGGAAUUGUAGAUCUGAUCCGCAUUAUCUUAAUUUCAUUCAUGAUUCUAGUGAGAUGACUUGCUACAUUUUUACCAAGAAUUAAAAAGAUAAAAAUGGUGAAUCAAAAAUAAAACGAAAAAUCGUAUCGUUAUUAUUAGUAUUAUUAAUUGUACUCGGAGAAGAUGGGGAUGAGGGAGGCGGCAGCGAGGAGUUCCCCGUGGUUCCUCCUCCGUCCAUCUCCUCUCUCUCUCUACACUCUCUCUUUCUCUCUCUAGAUUCUCUCUCUCUUUCUCUCUCUUCUUCUUGGUGAGUGGUGGUCGUGUUUGUCUCCGUUUUGUCUUGAGGAGGACGACGACGAGAGUGGCGGAGGAGGAAGACGACGAGACCGACGAGAGGGAUAGUGUUGGAGGUGGAGAUGUAGGAGGUGGUGGUGGUCUGGGAGGAGAUGAGGCGAGGUAGAGGUAGAGGCAGAAGAGUCGGCGAGGUGGAGGCAGAGGAGCCGGCGAUCAAGUUGGGAGAAAAAGAGGAUAACUUAAGGGAUAAGCAUAAUAAGGUAGGGGUAAAAUAGGUAUUUUAUAUAGAUUUUAACUCUAGUAUAUAUUUAACACAUGUUUAACCCGAGUUAAGCUAACAGGGGAUAACUGCGGGGGUAUUUUAGAAUAAUGGUGGAACAUAUGAGGGGCAUUUUCGAAAAAAAAAAUAGGGGUAGAUCGGAUAUUUCCAGACGCAUGAGGGGUAUAUAGGCAAUUAUCCCUAAUAUAAAAUAUUAGUUUUGUCAAGUCGUGCGUGUAUUGUCCUAAAAGAAAAAAUUGCCUCUCUAAAUAUAAGGUGGGUAGGGUGGUUAGCAGAUAAGCAAAAAUACAAAGAUUAUGUUUGUUGGGAAUCCGGUACUCAUCCCGAUACCGGAUCUCGUGAAUCCGCAACCCGCUCCGAUACCGACUGCUGUGGAUCCGGUAUCGAUUGUUGGGAUUCCGCAACGGAAGCGUCGAAUCGGGUUUUUACCAUAAACCCGUCUCCUCAGCAAAAGCUGAUACAAUCAUAAAAGAGAGAAAAAAAAAUCAAAACAGAAAAUAUGCGGGUAAAAUAAGAUUCAUUAAAUAAGAGAAGAUUACACCUGACUCCUGUCCUGCAACAAAGUAGCUACAACCCGAGUUCUUUUUCUGAAUCUCUUCUACGCUUCUCUCGUCUUCUAUAAAAUCCACAAAGAAGACCUCUCCACGUGCACCCGUGCACAAGGUGCACUAAAAUAACUCUCUCUCUCUUUUUCUCUCUCUGGUACGACACCCCAAUGGUUCCAGCUGUACUCCCCUAAAAAAAGAGAGCCACAAUGCCUAUUUAUAAUGCUCAACUUAAAACGUACCCCAAUCCUAAUAUAUUUAGGAUUCAUACUUUAAUUAAUAUCUAAAUCUAUCUUAAUCAAUCUCUAAUAGAUUUAAAUAUUAAUCCUAAUCUAGUUAGGUUUAUCCUCUAAUUAAUAUUUAAAUCUUAAUUUAUCUCAAACAGAUUUAAAUAUUAAUUCUUAUCCAAAUAGGAUUUAACUACAAAUCUAACCAAAUCCUAACAAUGUUUUGAUGAACCCUAAAUGUGCACGGUAUUAAAAAGUGAAUAAAAUACAAUGAUUACAAUAGAGUGCUAAAAUACAAAGAUUACAGUAGAAUGCACAAAUCUCUUCUCUUCUUCUUUUUGAGAGAGACAGAUAGUAUGCUACCUGCUUCAUUUAUUAAGUAAAUUAAGCUACACAGAGUGAGGCAGCUGAGGCCUCAAGAAAACAAAAAAGUCAAAAGAACAAGAAAAAAAAACCAGGUACACAACAAAAACAAGCAACAAGAAACGAUGGGUGUGACUAACACCAACUUCACACAGCUCUACAAAAAUCGGCUCACUCCUUCGCCAAAAGUUUAAUACGGUAAGGGCCCGUUUGUUUUGGUGUAAGUGGAGUGAUGGAACUCAAGUUCCAUCACUUCCGUUAUUUGUUUUGAUGCAAGUGAAAAAUAUAAUGUAACUCAAGUUACGUUAGAGCUCCACAUCACCUACUCUCGACUUCCUCCUCUAAAGUGCCGAACUCGACUUUCACUACACUCAACCUUCUCUAAAAAAAUUUAUUAAACAGUAAAACCUAAACUCUACUUCGUUAUAUAGGGUUAGAAUUACCUUAUUUAUAAUAAAUUAGGAUUAUCUUUAAAUAAUAAUAAAAAAUUAAUUAUAUAAUAGAUUAAAUUUUAUAGUGGUAAAUUUACUACUAUAUUUAAGAGAUAAUGAGAUCCACUUACUUAUAUCAAAACAAACAACGGAACUCAAAAAAUUAAUUUUACCAGUACUAAGUUACAUCAAAACAAACAACAGAAGUGAUUGAAUUUAACUUUCAGGCGGUACGAGUUACGUCAAAACAAACAACAAAAAAAUAAUCACACUUCAGGGAAACUCAAACACCACUACACUUGACUUACGUUGAAUCUAUAAAUACGUCAAUCCAAACGCCCCCUAAGCAGAAGAGGUAGCAUCCAUUUGGAGGUUCCGAAAAAUAACAUUGUUUCUCUCACUCCAAAUUGCCCACCAUGUAGCCGCCACAAGAAUCAAGGCUAUUGCGGUGUCACCUACUGCCCCCUUCCCUGCCAGCGCCUCGCAAACGGUAUUGACAUCCUCCAUGGAGGUGAAAACGUGAGGGUCAUCCAGAAGUGAAAUAAAAAAGAAUCUGUUAACAACACAUUCUACCAACAAGUAGUCUACUGUCUCCAGAUUAUCGGCACACAAGACACAUGUGUUAUUUCUUGACCAGCACACAAGACACAUCUGUUAUUUCUUGACCAUCCCCUUUUAAUCAAAUUAUCCACAGUAGGUAGUCUCUUUUUUAAGGCUUAAUUUUUGUUGGAAUUUUCUAAUUCCAGAUGGCAGACGUCAUGAUAUCUUUUACAUCCCCCGUCCCGAUGUGCGAGUACACAGAUUUGACUGUAAAGUUAUUUCCAGAGUACACAGAUUCCAGAGUGCACAAAUCUCUUAUUUGUCAUUUCAACACUUCUCUUCAGUAUUCCAUCUAGGACUAAACUAUAGAAUAGUGUUUGGAGCACCGAGCAAUUCCUAGUAAAAUCCAUCAAUUAUUAGACCACUCGAGAGGUCCAUGCAGCAAAUUAAAAUUUUAAAUCGCAAAAUAAUAAUACUAUAGUUACUAGUCCAUAUAGAAAUUUGAAAAAAUAGCUUUCAUUGACUUUUCUUUGCAGCAAAAUCAAAUAAUUUCCCACUUAGGUAACAUGCGCAAGUGUUUAUUUUAUUUUAUUUUAUUUUUUGCGAUGGAAGCUCAGGUGCUUCAUAUUCGAAAAUUUUACGAGUUUCGCGAAAUCAAUUUAAGGUUGAAACUCAAUAUUGAGUUUAGUUGCUUCUUCCAGAUCUCAAAACUUGAUGGGUAAAAGGGGUUUGAACCUAACCUAACCCAGUUUUACAAAAAGCAGCUAACACAAGUUCAAUUAAGAUUCAAACCAAGUUAAACAUAAACUCGAGUCGAACCUAAUCAAUAAUUAGCACCUGUCUCAGCCACACAUAAGAGACCACAAAUACCACAAUUUAAUCCAUUAAAUCCACCCCCCCUACUGAUCCCUAUCUACAACUGUACAAUUCGAAAAGAACGGCUAGAGAUCGAUAUCCUCCCAGGUCGCAACGGCAACGGGGACGCACGUACCGAAGAGGCAGUUUCGGCACGUGGGGCACGUGGGCCGAGCCGCGAGCCACCGGUCGAUGCACCGCACGUGGAACCCGUGGUUGCACGCGGGCAACACCCGCACGUGCUCCCCGUGCACGAACUCCGACAGGCAUAUCGCGCACUCCGACGACCCAGCCCCGGCGAGCCCAAGCCCAGCCGUAUAGACCAGGGCCGGGAGGGCGCGUAAAGCGUCCUUCCUGGCGGCCCGGGCAGUUUUAGUGGGCCGGCCCAAUGGGCCGGGGGGCUCGCGGUGGUAGCAGGUUGGGCUCAUGAUGCGAAGGACGCAUCGGACGAUCGCACUGAUUACCAGCACGCAGAUGAGGCUGCAGAGGAGGAUGGAGAGGACGAGGACGAUGCUUUCGUUAAGGGAAUUGAAUGAACUGGUCUUCACUUGGUAUCGAACAGUAUCGGACUGGGUCGGACCCGAAGCCGGAUAAGUCGGGCUGGGCGGUAAGUUGUAAAGCAGGGUGUUGGGCAAAAGUUUCCUAGAUUGUGCUUGUACUUCCAUGAGAAGCGCUUUGGAGUUCGGAUUUUGAGAGAGAGAGAGAGAGGUGGUAGAGUGAGAAGGAAAGUUCUUGGAGAGUGGGAAUGAAAGGGAUUUAUAUAUAGGAAUGGAGAGGCUAAAGCAAGUGUGUAAACUAUUGUGAUUUGAAUAAUGGAUAGCAUAAGUUGUACCUUAGAGGGUGUUAGCUAAAAGCACUGAAAACAUGUGUAAUACUGUGGAUUCAGCUCAAGUCAACAACAAUAGGGGGUAGUUGAGCACUUCAAAUGUGGGAUCUUUGAAUUGGGGAGCAGGCCCCAUUUUUAGGUUUACUAACUUUGGAAAUUUGUGUCCUAGGGCCUAGAAAAAGACUAAAAUAAGUGGAUGUUACGUGUGUCUGUGUUUUAACCGCUCAUUUUGUUGGUGCAACUUUAGAAAGAUGUAAUCGAUUAUCCUUAACAUAAAUAAUAAAGGACUGAAUAGUUAGUAUCUGAGAUCUUAAUAUUGAAACUUAGUUGUUUUAUAAUUUUAGUUAAUUUAUGUUUUUUUUAAAAAAUAAAUACAGCAGAUAUAAUGCUAUCUUUCUAUCUCUCGUAAGAAAAAAGAAGAAGAAGAAGAGAUGUUCGGUUUACUUGAAAAUAUUGUAAAAGAUAGUUUUCUGAUGAGAAAAGUUAAUAAUAUUUUGUUUAUUUUUUAUUUACUAAUAUUGCUCCUGGAUUUCAGCUAAUAUCAUAAUAACUCUCUUGCAUUAAAAAUUACAUCAAUUCGAUCAACUGUUGAUUUUAGAGUAACUGUUGAUUUUGGUUGCAUAAUUUUAUAAAUGGUUAAUUUCAUACAAAUUCCUACAAACAUAGUGAAUAACAAAUAUAUCUAUAUAAAGUUAAGCUUUUAUAUGUUGUAUCUACAAAAGUCCUGAUAUUUUCAAAUUUGUCCUUAUCGUUAGAAUCCGUUAGAAAAAUUUAGUUAGCCAUAGGUUAAAUAUUUAACCCUGAUUAUUUUCUGACAUUUUUAUUCCUCUUAUAUAAUACUGUUAUGACUUUUAGAGAAUAUAUUUGUGAUGGCAAAAUUAAAAAUAUACACAGUUUUCUAACGGUUCUCUAACAAUAAUAAACCAGAAGGACAUAUUUGAAAAUAUCAGAAUUUUUACAAGAACAAUAUAUGAAAAUUAAACUUUGUAGGAAUAUAUUUGUUAUUCGCUAUAUAUAUUUACAAGAACAUGUAUAGAAUUAACCAUUUUAUAAAAGUGACCUAACAAAGAAAAAAUUUACUAAAAACAGUAAGCUGAUAUCAUAUGCCAACCAGUUUCUAUGAAGUUUCUACAAUUAAUCACAUCCAAAAAUCAUCUCAAUUUGUGAACUCAUUUGAGGUAGAGAAAAAUACAGGAUAAAAAAUAAUAUACUACUUAAUAUAGAAAAAUAAUUGAGAUAUAAGCUGAAUUGCAGAAAAUGAUUAAUUAGAAUCCGUAGUUAUACAACCCUAGUUUCAAUUGUUCUCGAACCGGAUGAUAGGCUCAAGUCAAUUUGAUCUUUAGAUCAAACGCACGUUGAACUCAAUACACAGAAAUGAACCAUUCGUAUUAGCACCCGAAUAUUAUAACUGAUUAUAGCUGAGCGUAUACCUAUACCCUAAGGUUCAUUUUACCGUAAUGAUCACGUUUAAUUUAUUUUAAUCUUAAUCAUAGUCCCCAACAAUAUUUAAAUGGAAACAAGGAGUAUACUACAACUUAAAAGCUCAAUAAUCCAACGCGCACUAAGCUGUAUCAUUUCCAAAUUCUAAUUAAAAAGUGUACAUAUCCGGGAUUUGGAGCCUCCACUACGAGAACGCGCGACGAGGCAAGGCCCAAUGAGAGAACGCCGCGUGGCAGAAGAGGCUGUGAGCUGGCGCUGACGUGUCGACACGCGGGUGGGCGUCAUGUGCACACGUGGCGCGACGGGCCGUUGACGUGGCAAGUGUCUGAGUUGGGCCCAGUGUUUAAAGGCCCAGUUAUAGCUCUUGUAGCUCUGUUUUUGUAUUGGUUAUAAGAUUUAAAUUUGUGAUAAAAUAAUUAACUUUUGAGAUAUUAUUAUACCAGAGUUGAAUUGUAAUGCCGUAAGAAUAUUUUUAGUUACUUCGUAAUUAAAAAAUUUAAAGUAUAUUAUUUUUGUAUUUUGUUGAAAUCAAAAAUAGCUGGAUUGUUUGUAUUUGGGAUGAAAAAUUUAUCUGACUUUAAGGGACUGCCGUUGCAUGUAAUUAUAACUGCAUGCAAAUUUAAAUAAGUAUUUGAUUUAAUGUAUUUUAGUUCAACUGCUGAAGCUGAAACUCCUCGACUGCAACAAUUAGAAUUAUACCAAAAUUAGGCGCACUUCCAAUUGUAAGAAUUAGUAAGGACAACUUUAAACAAAAUAUAAGCUUAUCCAUUUAAUCAUCUUUUAAACAUAGGAAUUAUUAUUUUUAUUAUUAUUUUUUAUUUUAUUUUAUUUUAUUUUUUUUACCUUUGGGGACAACAUCACGGCCCGUCCCAUGUUUAAAAACGAAGCAAUUCUUAUAUAAAAAAUUUUCAGCUAUAUAUAAUCAAACAAAUUAUUUACUAUUGCUGUAUUUUUCACUACAUCCAACCAAAUUAAAUAUACCUAAUUAUAACUGUUGUAUUUUUAAUGAUAUAAAUCUUUACAGACACUGUAUUUAUAAUUAUGUUCUAUCAAACAGCUUCUAAAUCGUAAUAAAACUAUUUAGUGCAUUUGGUUGGUAUCUUGGAUCGCUGGUUAGGAAGUUAAGGGUUUAAUUAUCUACAAUGUUUUGAAAAAUAAAAUACAAAGACUAGUUAAUUAGCAAUAAAAUAAAGAGGAAUAAAACUUAAACUCAAAUUUAAAUAAAUAAGAAAAGGAAAAGGUUAGUGUUAGUGAUUGGGGUUUUUUUUUUUUUUUUUUUGGGUCUAAGCGCUUGAUUUGCCAUAAAAAUAGUGCCACCUAUCAAUAGGCGUUCGACAACUCGGCUGCUGACGUGUCAAUUCCCUGUUUGCCAAAAAGCAGGGACCCGUUCUCCACGUCAGCCAAAAAGCACUCCACGUCAUGCUUCCACGUCACACGUUCUCGGCCCCACUCCUUCCACCACUCUUUAAUUGACACGUCGGCAUUUAAAAAGAAUAGCCGUUGCGGCACAGCUGACCCGCACCAUGGGGUUUAAUUAGUUGUGGGACCCACUCCUCAUUACGGUUUUUUUUUUAAUUAUUAUUUUAUUAUAUAUAAAAAUACGUAUUUUUAAUUUUGAUUUGUAAAUAGAUUUAUUUUUGGCGGAAUUUUUUUAAUCCAAAAUAAAUAAUAUAAUUAAACCAAUUUUUGAUUUAUCUUUUUUUUAUCUGGUUUAGACAUUUAGGUUAGUUUUUCUAAUAUAAAAGAUCGUAGCAAAUUAAGUGAUUAGAGGGUUUGAAACUCACCUAUAAAGAAAACUAAACUAAGUUUUAUAAUAGUACGAAUGAAAAUUCUAAUUUGAAAUUACUGUUUAGCUUAUUUUGAAAUUCUAAGAAAUCGUUGAAAGAGAGUACUUUAAUAAAAAUCGACUGAUGCUUUCUAAAACACGCGAUUUAGCAACACUUUUUAAAUAAAAUUUAGUCGGGUACGCACGUUUAUAACUUGUUACUUUGGUUUAAGUUUAAAGGUAUAUAUAUAAAAAGGACCAAUGUGAAUCCCAAAUGGCAUAUCCACAAUGCUGUCGAAAGAUUUAUCUUAUAGCCAUGUCAUUUGAGUUAUCAGAUAACAUGCUUUAUCAACAUUGUGGAGCUUAUUCCUGUGCACUUUGAUAGUGUAGGAGACAAAUAAAGUGAUCUUGAUACUACAACAGGGGUGAUAGAUUUUCCUCCAUAUCUUAAUUAAGAAUUUUGUUUCUAUCCCAGUGAACCCUAGUAAUUGGUACUUCCUUAUCAGCUCUUUAAUUUGGAUAUGUUACUUUUUUAAUUUGUCAUUUAUACUUUUGAGUGUUUAGUUUAGUUUGUUGAGAGAUUGAUGCACUUAUCAAACAUCAUGUCCCUCCACAGGUAAGAUUCAAUCAAUUGUGAUGUUUCCUUUUCUUUUGCCCUCAAGUGGCCUAUUAUGUUACUCUAAUAAAGAAUUUGUUAAAUAUAAAAAUGUUUAAAACACCGUUCUUUAACAGCUUAAGCUUUUAGAGUACAACGGUUGUUUCACAUGGUAUCAGAGCAGGAGGUCCUAAGUUCGAGUCAUGCCAGGUUCCUAAUAUAUUAAUUCUCCCAUUUAAUUCAAGCUUAUGUCAUGAGCCGACUAAAAAGUCUUGAGCCCAGACGUGAGGGGGAGUGUUAAAUAUAAAAAUGUUUAAAACACCGUUCUUUAACAGCUUACUCUUUUAGAGUACAACGAUUGUUUCACAGAAUUCAAAUCUGUUUUAAUUUCCUAUUAUGCAAUUCAAGUGCACAAAAUUGUUUUGCAACCUAUAUUGCACUUUUUGUCCUCAAUCUUUGUAAGACACAGUUUGGUUUUGAUGUAAGUAGAGGAAUUAAAAAAAUAAAUACUUUAUUUCAUUUCUUGUUUCUAAAUAAAAAAUCACUGUUUAUCUCCCUUAAUGGAUUAUUUUAGUAUAAUCCGUUAAGAGGGUGGGAGUGGAACAACAAUUUCUUCUCUUAUAUCUAUACUAAUUAAGAAUAAAAUAUUACUAUUUAGAGUUGAGCUCCUAUGCUUUUAAAAUCGCAGGAGUUCAACGUACUUGUGAUUUUUUAGUCUGAGUCGUCUUAAGAUUAUUACAGCACCAGUAAGGAAGAUUUAAUGGGAUAGAUCAUUAAUAGUGCUGCACAGAUCUUAACGCUAUCUAACAGCUAAAAGUCACAAGCAUAAAUGCUCCUAUUCUUUUAAUCUAAAAGCACGGGAACUCAACUCUUACUUAUCAAUGUAUUAAUGCAUAAAUGCUCCUGUUCUUUUAAUUUAAAAAGUCACAACCAAAUGAUUAAUGCUUCUGACAUUUUAGCUCUCAAACUUUAAUUUAUUAUAACAAAUUUGAUUCACUAUAUAUAUAUAUAUAUAUAUAUGAUAUUUUGCUAAUGCAAAAGUAAUGUGAAAUUUCAGUAAUUACCAUAUCAAUAUUAUAUUAUCAUCACAUCACUAUUUAAUUAAUUAAAAUAGACUAUGGGAUUUUAUUAUAAUAAUUUAAAAUUUUGAGUAAGAAAUUAUAAUAACUUAAAAUUUUGAGAACCACAACAUCACACGCCUCCAAAUAUGAGGACCAAAAAUGCAAGGUACCCUUCUUUUUUUUGUCUUAACAAAAUAAAAUGGGUGCAGUUUAAAAUAAAAAAUAGUGUAACAAGAGGAGAAAUGAUGCAACAAGAGGAGAAACGGUGCAACAAGAGGAGAAACAGUGCAAUUUUCAUUUAAAGAGUGUAAUUUUUAUCUUAGUGGGUGCAGUUUAUAUCUGAAAGAGUGAAAUAAGAAGAGAAACAGUGUAAAUAUCUUUCAAAGAGUGUAAUUUUCAUUUAAAAAGUGUAAUUUUUAUUUUAAAGCUGUAGUUUACAUCUUAAGUAGUGCAACUUGUAAUUUUUUUGUAGUUAACGAUACAAUUUCAUCUUCAUCCUUUUUUUUAUAUAAUUUUUUAUCUUUAUUUUUUUUCUGUUUUUUUUUGUCACCCUCUCUGUCAAUAGCCACGGUGUCGGUGACGACGCCGCUAAAGACCCCCCACUCCGAGGCUGCAGCGCCGCAGUGAUCUCCACGGUGUCGGCGUCGGUGUCGGCGAAGAUGCAUCGUCGUCGGAGGCAGCAGAGAAGGAGGGAGAAGGAGAGACGGGAAGGGCAGGGAAGAGCGAGAGAGGCGCCGUCGUCGGAAACUGUGGAGGAGAGUCAGAGAAGAAAAGAAAAGAAAAAUGCAAAAAAAAAAAAGUCACAGCCCGGCCUUAGGGGGAUCGGAGGCGAGGAAGGUGGGGGCGCCGGCGGCGACGCCGCUCUGUCUUCGCCGCUCUCUGGGAAGAGAAAGAAAAAAAAGAACGAGAGAAAAAAGAGAAAAGAAAAAGGUAUAAGGGCACCUCCGCUCCGUCUUCGCCGCUCUCUGGGAAGAAAAAGAAAAAAGAACGAGAGAAAAAAAGAGGAGAGAGAAAGAGGAAAGAGAAAAAGGUAUAAGGGUAUUUUGGUCAGUUUGCUGAAAAAGCGGAUCGAAUCUGCAAAAGCCAAAAAGAUGGCCCGAUUUUGCAAAAGCCCAAAAUAAAUGGAUUUUUUAUGCAAAUUGGCCAAAAAAUUUUAAUCCAAAGCUUUUGCCAAAUUUCUAUUAAAUAAAAAUAUGAAAUUUAAUAUAAAAAAUAAAAUGCAAAUAAUUAAAGAGAAAUGCCAACUCUAUAACCGAAAAAGGUUGUAAUCCUUACAAGUCUUUUUUUUUUUUUUUUUUGUGAGAGAUAGGUAGCACGCUAUCCGCUUCGUUUACUUCAUUUAGAAAUAAACUUAGCUGGAAAUGUGAAUCAACUAGGAUUCGAACUUGGGCCUCGGGUACCAACCACCAAACCCUUUGCCACUUGCUUUAGGGACAGUCAGUAUGAGAAAAAUAGAAAAGGGUUGUAAGUUUAAUUAGCACUGCUUUUUUGAUGUAGAGCAAUGCUACAGGUACAUCCUAAAGUAGGGUGUAUUUCUUACACCUACUUCAUCUUAAGAUCAUUCUUGUUAUAUCAAUUUUUUUUUUUAAUUUUAUUAAAAACCAAUUCGAUUUUUAUCAAUUCGAAAAUUCUAGGUGUAAGAUGUACACCCUCUUUUUAGUGCACAAGAAGCAUUUUCCUUUGAUGUAUCGUCUUUUGCACUCAGCGCCCUUUGAUUGUAAAACCUACAGAGAACCCUCUCAAUUUUUUUUUUUUUUUUCCUACUAUUGUUACAUAACCUUAUUUGGAAAUUUUAAUUUAUUGUGCAUAAAUAUUAAAAUUUUUAAAAUGUUAUUUAAAAUACAAAUUGUAUAUUUUCAUUGGUGAAAAAGUUCCAUCUAACUAUUCUUUAAUGCCCUUAUGGACAAUAUAUUCGUUAAAUUAAAUAAAAUAACCGUUGUCCUCUAAAUAUUUUGUCUAAAAUUUUAAUAUUCAACAUAUCUCCUUACGUCUAAGCUCGAGACUUUUCGAUAGAUUCAAGAUGUGGGUUUGAAUUAAAUAGGAGAAAACUAAAUAAUAUUAGAAACUUGAUGAGACUCAAAAGCAGAUUUCCUGUUCUAUUACCAUAUUCAAAUAUUUAAAUAAUUCAUUUUUCACUAAAAAAUUUAAGUUAUUAAAGAACAGUAUUUUUAAUAUUCGUAUUCAGCAAUAUUACCAGAAAAAAUACUCAGAUACACUCAGAUCUAGAUUGGUUAGAAGGAAGAUCGGAGUUUCUGUAGAAACUAAACGAUGCAGUUUGGUGGCUCUAAAUGAACUCAUUGUGAUUUUAAUGGUAACAAAUAAUUAUGAUUUGAAUCCGAUAUUUUAUUUGAGCUUGAUAUUACCAGAACAAAUAUUUGAAAGAGUUCAAACAACAAAUCAUUAGUUAUACGCAAGGGGCCUUUGUUUCACUCUCUUGUUCGCUUAUUUUACCUACAUUCACAUUAUAUUAGGAUCCGUUUGAAGUUGUAUGAAGAUUAAGCUACGUACAGUGACAACGCUCAAUGAAAAAAUAUUAAUAUAUUAUUUUUAUACUUAUAUCACAUUCUACAGUUUCACAAAAAAAUGCAGAAAUAUAUUUCUAUAUAUUUUUACUCUAAAUCUGUCUUAUUUAUUAACAUUAGAUGAAUCUCAAUACCAAAUAUGUUCUUACUCUGUCACUUGCACUGAAUUGUUCUUAAGAACUAGCACUCGGAAAUAAAUCGAGUGCUCAGAUUUGAGUGAUUGGUAUUCUUAAUCAGCUACGACUAUAAGAACUGGCAUGUUUUGUUUGAAAUGAAAAUUGCUUUCGGAAUGAGAAUGAGAAUGGAUUAGAAUUAAAAACGGAAUGAUAAAAGGUUCAAUUUGUUUGAUUAUAAGAGUAAUUAGAAUUGGAAUUAAUCAUGUUUCAAUUGAAAAUCAAAAAUUUAGAUUUAUUACUCAAAGAUCGAUUUAGUAGAAAAUGGGUUGCAUAGAAUGAAGGAGCUUAGAAUUAUCUCUGAUACUACAGAAUGAAGGAAUUUAAAACUGACUCUGAUAUCAUAUUAACCAAAAGAUCGAUCUAAUAGGAAACGACCAUAAAAUAUAUAUUAAUAUUUUUUUAUUCACGUGCAUGAUGGAUAUUAAAGGCACGUGACAUUGAUAGAUAAGUAGAAGAUAAGAUUUAACCAGUAUAUAAUUAUGAAAAUUUAAUCCUUUAAACCUCAAAGGUGGGGGGACUGGACCUACGAUCUUAUAAAAUGAGGGGCUUGAAAUUGGCUCUGAUACUAUAUUAUCCAAAAUAUUAAUCUAGAAACAUAUUUAACAAUCCUACUUAUGUGCAUAAUGGAUGUGAAAGACACGUGAAAUUGAUAGUUGAAAUAGAAUAUAGGAAUUUAACUUAUUGUAUAAUUAUAGAAAUUUAAUCCAUUAGACGUCAAAGGUGGGGAUUGCGUUGACACCAUGUUAUCAAAAGGUAGAUCUAGAAAAAAAAAAAAUAGCCUAGAAAUUUAGAAAUAUACAUUAACAUUUAUAUUCAUGUACAUGAUGGAUAUGAAAAGUACAUGGAACUGAAAGAUGGGAUAGAAGAUGGGUAUUUAAUCCAUUAUAUAUUUAUGAAAAAUUAAACCCGUUAAAUGUUAAAGGUGGAGAUUCAACACAUGACUUCAUAGGAAGAAACGGUUUAGAAAUAACUCUGAUAUCAUGCUAACUAAAAGAUUGAUCUAGUAAGUAAGGACCCAGAAAUAAAAUAUAUUUUAACUUUUCCUUGUGCAUGAUAAAUAUAAAAGACACAUGAAAUUAAUAGAUCAGAUAGAAGAUGAGAUUCAACCCAUUGUAUUAUAUAAUUAUGAAAGUUUAAUCCAUUAAAUGCCAAAGGUAGGGGAUGGAACAAGAAUGAACAAGUUUGGAAUUGACUCUGAUUAUAUAUUAUCCAAAAGUUCGAUCUAGAACAAAACAGGCGAGAAAGCUAGAAAUAUAUUUUAACAAUUAUACUCACAUGCAUGAUGGAUGUGAAAAGCACAUGAAAUUAAUAAAUGAGGUAUAAGAUAAGGAUUUAACUCACAAAAUUAAGGGUUUAGAAUUGGCUCUGAUACCAUAUUAUUCAAAAAAUCGAUCUAGUUGGAAGGGGUCUAGAAAUUCAAAAAUAUAUAUUAACAUGCCUACAAGCAGAAUUGAUAGAUGAUAUAAAAGAUGGGUAUUUACACUAUUAUAUAAUUAUGAUAUUUUAAACCUAUUAAAUGUCAAAAGUGGGGAAUGAGCCCAACGAUUUUACAAAAAAGAAAAGGUUCUCAUUGACUCCCAUACAAUGCUAACCAAUAGAUCGAUUUAAUAGAAAAUGACUGAGAAAUAUAUAUUAAAAUUUUCAAUCACAUGCAUAAUGGAUAUAUAAAAGGUACAUAGAAUUAAUAGAUCAGAUAAGAGGUGAAAAUUUAACCCAUUAUAUAAUUAUAUAAUUAUAUAAAUUUAAUCCAUUAAUUGUCAAAGGUGGGGGAUUGAAACCACACUAUCACAGAAUGAAGAGGAUUGGAGUUGGCUCUGAUACCAUAUUAUCCAAAAGAUUGAUCUAGUAAAAAAUGGACUUAGAAACCCAUAACUAUAUAUUAACACUCCCACUCACAUUUAUGUUGGUUGUGAAAGCCACUUGAAAUUGAUUAAUGAGGUAGAAGAUAGGGCUUUAACCCAUUUUAUUGUUACAAAAUUUAAUCCUCUAAAUGUCAAAGGUGGGGAUUAAUCACAAAACCUCAUUAGAAUGAAGGAGUUUAGAAUUAAUUUUGCACAAAAGAUGGAUCUAGUAGAAAAUAGGCCCAAAAAUUAUAAAAAAUAUAUUAGCAAAAUUUACUAUUCAAUUUCGUAAUCAAAAUUUAAAUUUAACCCUCAGAACAUAAAAUUUUAAAGUUGAACUUAAGAAAUUUAAAAUUAAAAUUUGAAACCAUAAUUCAAAUUCAAAUAUAAAAUAAUUAUUUAAAAUUAGGUAUACAUUAAUAUUUGAAUUUAAAUAAAUGUUGUUGAAAAAAACAAUAGAUUUUUUUUUCCUCAAUCCCUUUCGAAAGUAAAGUUAAUUAAUUCCCACUUAAAACUAUGACUAGAGAAUUGGAUUGUUCAAAAUAUCAAUCAUUCAAACCAAAUAUUGGAAAUUUUGCCCCUUUGAAUGAAGAUCAAAAUAUCAAUCCUUCAAACCAAAUACUAACAAUAAAAUUGGAUCAUUUUGAUUCUCGUUUCAAACCUCAAAUUCUGCAAACCGAAUAUGUCCUAAAAUCUAUGACUAGAGAAUUGGAUUGUUGAGAAUUGAAUUUAAACAAUCGUUGGCGAAAAAAUAAAUUUUUAUUUUUCUUCUCAAUCCCUUUGGGAAUUAAAGUUAAUUCCCACCACCAUGGGGAGAAUCAUACUGGAAAAAUUCCCUCCUUUGAAUGAAGAUCAAAAUGUCAAUCUCUCAAACAAGCACCAACGGUAAAAUUGGAUCAUUUUAAUUCUCAUUUCAAACCUAAAAUCCUUCGAACCGAAUAUGCCCUAUCUACGACUAGAGAAUUGGAUUGUUGAGAAUUGAUGAUUAACCGCUCCCCUACUUUUGGUCUGCACCAUGCAUGUAUAGCUUUCGUAACCUGGAGUCACAAACAAGUCAUCGAAUUAAUCCGCAUCGAAUUCAAACCUGAGUGAAUUUGAGAUCCAAAUGCGACUAAUUUGUGCCGAAUCUUGAAUUAACCAUUUUGGGCUGUUUUUGUAACAUGAAAAUUGAUCAAUUAAUUCAGCACAAAAGCAAAAUUACCUUGUAGAAUGAUCUUUAUUUCCUUGUACUUGAGUACAGUUGAGAUCUUAUAGAAGGAAAUUCUUUUUGGUAAAGAGAUUUAAAAAAAGAAAAAAAGAAAAAGUUGGUGUCAUUUGCGUAGCUAAUAUGUUGAAGAUUGAGAGUUGGAGGAGACCUAGACAAAGUGCUAAAUGUCCAAACAAAUUGACCAAUUACUUCUUGUGUUUGUAUUAUAUAUCUCAAUAUCUACUUUUGUUCUAUCUCUUAAUUUUUUUUAUUCGGCUUGCAUUUUUAUUUUUAAAACCUGAUUCACCUCCACUAUUUGAGUGCCAUUCUAUUCUUAUGUAGAACACUCCUACUAAACUUUUGCAAAUUUUAAAAUAAUGUUUUAAAAUCCGGAUCGACUCGGUCAAUUGGACCAUGACCUAGUGCCCAAACUAGUUCCAGCCAAUUUAUAAAAUCGGACCGACUUAAAACUCGCUUGGACCAAUUUAGAUAAGUUUUUCAACUAGAGAACCUGCCGGAUUUCUUUUCAUUUUAUAUUUCAACAAUUAAUUAGAAAUAUGCAUGUUUUUUUUUUAAUAAUUUACACUUUGGAUACAUUUUAAUUAUAUAUAAUAUAAUAAUAAUUAAAAAUAAUAUAUAGUACUAUACUAAGUAUAUAUUUUUAUUGUAUAUUACUAUAUAAAAAUAAUAAUUAAAUAUUUAUGACGUUACGGUGGUGAUCUAUGACCCAUCAAUAUUUUUGGAUUCUACACGGUUCGGCUUUUAAAUCAUUGUUUUCGAAAUGUAAUGGGCCAUCCCAAGUGUGGCCUGGGUGUUUCCAAACAAGUUUGGCCUACUGAGAAGAGGCAAGGCCCGAAUCAAAGUCUCAAGCACAAUUUGUAUAUGUGAGUUUAAUUAGACCCAAAAUUGCUGAAAGCUUUAAUAAAUAGGGGUUAGUUACAUAUAGCUCUCUGUAAAGAUAUCGAAUAGUAGAUAUAUCUCUAUAAAGUUCAACUUUUCAUAUUUAUUUUUGUAAAAGUCCUAACGUUUUUAAAUAUACCCCUGCCGUUAGGAUCUGUUAGAAAAGUAUAAUUAAUCAUAGAUAAAAUACUUAAUUCUAAUUAGUGAAUGAGGUAAAUUGACAUUUUUAUCAUUCUUAUAUUAUUUGUGAUGGAAGAAAGGAAAAGAUGAUCGUUGGUGAUUUUUGAGAUGACAGUUCCGCAUAAUUUUAACAGUCACUACAACAAAAACGAUAUAUAGCGACACCUUUAAAUAUCGGUACAAAUCAAAAAAAGUGUUGCUAACUAAAUUACCGACACUUUUAAAAAGUGUUGCUAUAUGUGGGUCACUAAGUAUAUAGUGACAGUUUAAGAGCAUCGGUAUAACUUAAAAAAAAUGCUGCUAAUUUACCGACACUUAUUUAAGUAUUUAGCAACCGCCGGAACUCUACCUCGUUGGCUGCGGUGGCGGAGGAGGAGGAGAGCGAAGGGCUCUUCGUGUAGGAUUUCAGCGGAGGAUUGAGGAGAGCGAAGGGCAUUUUUUUUUUUUUUUCCUUUUCUGUUUGUACUCGGGCUGAAUGGGUUGGUUGGGGUUGGUUGAGUAGAGUAAUAUUUUAUUUUUGGUUGAAUUAGACUUUAUAUUUAGGCCUUAGUAGAUUUUUUAAAAAGUUUUGACAUAAAUGAAACACUUACACAAAAGUGUUCCAAACAUGUGUUCCUAUAACCUAAUUCUGUUGUAGCGAGUUGAGGUUUUUGGAGGAACAUAUUUUUAAUAGCAAAAAUAUUAUUUCACUUAUCCUCUGUUAAAAUAUAAACAGUAUUCUAACCGUAACAAACCAGAUAGGCAAAAUAUGAAUAUCACCGGACUUUUAUAGUGAUAAAUAUGAAAAAUUAAAUUUUGUAGUAAUUUAUUUGCUAUCCGAUAUGUUUAAAGGAGCUAUAUGAAAUUAACCCUAAUAAAUAUAUCAUAAGCCUAGUUUGCAAGGGCUAAUGUAGGUUUGAGUUUUCCUCCUAACAAUUAAGUAGGAUGGAUUAAACUUCUAAUGCGGAUUAAACUUUUCGAACUAAUAACAUAAUCUUUGCUGAGGGUUAUCCUGCCAAAAGGGGUUGGAGCGAAAAUAUAUAAAUAUAUUAUUUUCGUUUACGAGUAGGAUCACAGAUAUCAUAUUUUAACCAAACUUGUAUGAUCUACUCAACCUAUUACUUAUUAGCAUAACAAGUUGAAUAUUUUUGGAUCGCACUUUUCUACGGCAUUCAAUGCAUACUCUCUGCAAUUCCGAACAGAGCUCUAAUAUUCGGCCAUAAAUAUUGUUGGUGAAUUAGUUAAGUUGGGGCCAUUCUGGGCCUUAUGAUGUUUGGACAAGGGAGAUUAAUGGCUUAAAAUACAAAAAAUAAUAUCUAAUUAAUAUGCUCUUCAAAGUUUCAAAAAUAAUUUAUAUUUUUGGAGGAUCAAAAUAUUCUUACUGAUUAUAAAAAAUUCCGUCAAAUAUCUCUAUUUCCUCUAAGGUUGACUAAAUAGAUUAAAUUUUAAAAAGUAUUAUGAUAAUUUUAAAAUAUUUUUAAAAGUUUUAAAUAGUAGUAAGAAAUAAAUAAGCGGGAACUUCUAAAAGAUAUGGGGACACUAGCAUAUUAAUUACCACGUACAUCAUAGCCGCAAAAAGAUGCUAUAACUCCUAGGAAGAUUCAUGUACAUAGUAUCCAACAUAGAAUCCAUAAACAACCAAUUUAUUUAAUUUGUUUUUUUCAUUCCAAGUUCUAAUAAACAUUAAUGUGAUAAAAUAAAUAAGUAUGAAACGAGGGAAAUUAAGUGGCAUAUCAUUUUCACAUCUUGCAAAUAUCGACUUUGAUAGACGUGCAUUUGCCACAAUCCCAACACAUUGAUGUAUACAUCUCUUGUUUUUGUUAAUUAGUAGAAUUAAUUAUAGGUUUUUUACAAAUGGAUACCUAGGAGCUAUAAUUUUUCACACUGUUUUUUUUCAUUUUGAAAGUGUUUUUUUUUACUUUUUUUUUUUUUUUUUUUGGUGAGGGAUAGGCCAGAAACAGUAGCAAAAGUCUCUGGUAUUUCACCAGAUAUAAAUAAUUUUCGGCCUUUUCAUCUUUUAUUCCCGAAAUAACAAUUGCCAAAGUGAGAAAAAAUCACUAUAUGUGCACUAUUUUUAUAAUUAAAUAUUACAAAUGACAUAUUACAAAUAAAGCUUGAUGUAAAAUAGUCGCAUUGAAUUGCACCUUUGGCCCUCAAACUAUGAAGUGGCUGAUACUUUCAUCAUCAAACUUAAUUUGUUGUAAUUUUUCGUUCGAACUUUCAUAAAUAUUUUAAUCAAAUUUUAUAACUAAAUUUGAUAGACUAGGUAUUAAUAUAUCCUUCACGCUACUAACAUAAUGCGACAUCUCAAUUAUUAAGUUUGAGUACCAGACGAGCAAUUUGUUCAAAAAUUUUUAUUAAACAUGUUCGUGAAGCUCAUUUGAGGUCCAAAUUGUAAAACAAUCGUUCUCCUUUAAAUAGUUAAGUUGAUAGAGAACAAUGUUUAAAUAUUUUUAUAUUUAACACAAAUCAGAGCCCAGUGGAAGCAAAGAGCUUCAUGAGCCCAAAAGUUAUGGCCAUGGCGAGCCAACCUCCAACCACCACCCUCACACACGACCUCCCCACGGGGGCGCGGCCGAGCACGGCCCCGGCGAUCCCGAACCCUAAAAGCGCCACAGUCACCGCCGCCGCCACCACCAUCAUCCUCACUUUGUAGCUGGUUAUGAACCCAGCGGCGAGCAGCGGCACCGCCCCGCCGACCGAGAACGCCAGCGCCGACGCCACCGCAGCCUGCACCGGGCUCGGCAGCUGCCUCAUGUCCCCGACGGCUGCCUGGCCGACGGUCGCGUCCUUCCGCCCCUCCGCUCUAUUCAGCUGAGCUAUUUCGGUGUCGAGCUGCGAGUACACAGACACGAACUCGCCGAUCGCCAUGCUGCAGGCGCCCGCCACGAGGCCCGCGAAGCCGGCCACGAGCAUGGCGCGGGCGCCCCCGUCUCUUACGGCGCCGACGCCCAUUAUCAGCGAAGCCGUCGAGACGAGGCCGUCGUUGGCGCCGAGGACCGCGGCGCGGAGCCACUGCGCCCGCUUCGAAUAGUCGAGCUCGUCGUCGGGGGUUGUGGGGACUUGGGCUUCGAAGCUCGCGCCAUUAAUUGUGAGCUUGGUUUCUUGGAGAGCCAUGGAGAGAGAGGAGGUGGGGUGGUGGGGGAGGGGGAUGAGUAGUGUGGGAGACACACGCCUCUAGAGAGGCUUGUAUAAUGGUAUGAAAAGCUAGGGUUUCGUGGUGGGGGGUGAGGGUGAGGGCACUUUUGGCGUUUGUGAUAUUUGAAUUGAAAUGUUCCAUGUGCUUGUAGAGUCAGAGAGAGAGAGAGAGAGAGAGAGAGAGAGAGAGAGAGAGAGAAUUUAAUUGUUCAAAAUUGUAUGAGAAAAUUUGAGUUGAAUUGUUACAAUUAAAAUUGUAUGAGAAAAUUUAACUGUAGCAGUUAGAAUUACGUAUAAAUUGAUUAUAAUUUCAACUGCAGCAGUUAGAGAGAGUAAUUUUAAACGUGAUUUAAAUUUAUUUUUUAAUUAUAUUUUAACCAAAAAAUAUUUUUCUUUUUUAUAUUGAAGGCAAUUUCAUCACCAUAUAUUUAAAAUAAUAAAAUUUUACAAACUUCUUUCUCAAUUAUAUGAAAUCAAACAAAUUUUUAUAAUUACAUCAUUUUCUAUUCAUCUAUCGAAACGAAAUAUAUAUAGUUGUAAUUGACAUAUCUCCAACUAUAUGUAUCUCAAACUAUAUUGUAUUUCUAAUUACAUUAAACCAAAUAUCCUCUUAGUGCAAGAGCAACUGUCCCUAACAUAAGUUGCAAAAGACUUAUAGAUUCAUAUUGGUUGGUAUCCGAGGUCUUAAAUUUAAAACUUAGUUACUUCACAUAUUAUGCGAAGUUUAUUUUUUAAAACAAUAAAUGAACAAAAUAGAUAGCAUGCUACCUUUCUCUCUCUCUCUCUCUCUCUCUCUAAUAAAGGAAAUUAGUGUAAGGCUUAAUUUGGUAACAUGCAUGGUAAUUUGAGAGGUAAACUUCAAUUUGCCUUCUUUAACUUAUUUUUAUUUUGCUAUCCUAUACUUGGUAAAAAGAGUUGUACUUAAUUAUCAUAUUAUUUAAUCUCUAUUUUAUCCAAGAAAUCUACUAUUAAAUAGGGUAGCAAAGUAAAUCUUUUUUUAAUAAAUAUAGAAUAGUUAAGUACAUGUAAUCUUUUGAAUCAUAGGGCAAAGUGAAACUUAGCUAAACCAUAGAAUAUGAAGUGUAACUUUUACAGCGUAACAAAGUUAAAAUGAGUGAAAUCACAGGGAGCAAUUUAAACCUUAAUCAUCUUUAUUUAAAGUAUUCAAAAAAUUUAAGUACUUUUUUAGUGAAAACUGCUAUCGUGAAAGGCAUUUGAUUAUUCUCCUUAUCGACAAAUUACUAUAAACCUUUUUAUUAAAAUAGAUAAGUAUAUAUACUGGACAAAAAAUAUAUUUAUACAUCAAAUUAAAUCCUGUCUAUCUAUCUAUCUAUCUAUCUAUAUUUAUAUCUAUCAAUAGAUAUAUUAAAGCUUGAGUUUUACUGUAUAUGACGUGUCAAUUUCUCAACGCCCUGUCUCUACCGUUCCCUCUCGCGCCCUUUUGAUCCCGACGGCUCACGUGUCGUCCGCCCCCUCUCUUUGGUUUCCUGGCACGCAUCUUCGACCCCUUCCCUCUCUUGCACCCACGAUUCCCUCUCUCUCACCCCCGAUUCCUGUCCCUUGUGGCUUCGCAGAGCCUGCAGGGCUCAGAGAGUUGUCACAAAAGGAGGGCCUUCAGAGUCUGACAUGGCGAUUUCUCCACCAUUUCCGCCAUUUUUCUUUUUUUCUUUUUUUUUCCGCUCCGCCUUGCCCCCCGCCUCUCUCUCUCUCUCUCUCUCUCUCUCUCUCCCCGCCGGGAUCCGCACUCUCUCCUCCAUCCCGCCGAGAUCUGCGGCGCGAUCUUCGCCUGCGGGGAUCUGGUGAGGAUCUUCUUCCCCUCCUCCCCCUCCCCAUCGCGCAAUAGAUCGGAGGAGCUCGCGAGCCCUCGGGCCCUGUUUGAUGAAAUGCCGAGCCGAUCGCAGGGCGCUCCGCGGGCAUCGGAGAGCUUAAAACAUAAUUGUAACCUGUAUAUUUGCAAGCAAUAUGUUGCAUAUGUAUGUUUUUUUUAGCGCUAGAUGGAAUUAGUAUUGCUCAAGAGAUGACAAACUACUUGAUUAUCCGAAAACCAUACUAUGUUUUUUUUAGCGCUAGAUGGAUAAUCACGUAGUAUGGUUCUGGGAUAAUCACAUAGUAUUUUUUCGGAUAAUAUUGCUCCAGUUUUUGCAUCCUUAGAUCCUUUUGCCUACAAUAAAUCCUACUGUAACUUGCAUUAAUGCUUAUUUACUAUGCAGUAAAUAUACAUCAAUGGGUAUAUUUAAUGGAUACAUCAAUGGGUUUUUACUACGCUCUGAAAAGAAUUUACACUUACAUCAAUGGGUAUAUUUAAUGGAUACAUCAAUGGGUUUUUACUAUGCUCUAGAAAGAAUUUACAUUUCACAUUGUAGGUUUCUACUGUUUAUGUUGGUUCUUUGUUUGUUAGCAUGGUGAAGUUAACUGUGCCGCUUUCAUUCUAUUAUGCUGGUGUUCUUGCUUUCUGAGUUAAAAUUCCUCUUAUUCGCUGAACUUUAGUUAAAUUAUUUUAUUUUAUAGGCAACAUGUUGUGAAUACUACGGCUCAGAGAACGAAAUCAAGAAAAAUAGCUAACUGCACUGUUAAUUAUAAUAUUAUGAAAGUAGUGAUCGACAUAAAAGUUUUGUGACUUCAAAUGGUUUGCUAGGCGAUGAUAAUACAGAAUUUAAAAAAGGGCAAGCUUAUUGCUUUUACUCCGCUCGCUGGUGUAAAGUAUUUCUACGUUGUUUUGUACGUGUGUGUAUAUAUAUAUAUAUAUAUAUAUAUAUAUAUAUAUAUAUAUAUAUAUAUAUAUAUAUAUAUAUAUAUAUAUAUAUAUAUAUAUAUAUAUANAAAUACUCUAGAUCAAGUCUAACGGAGCCGAUCGUCGAUUCGAAAGUCGGAACAUCGAAAACAAAGUGGAAGCACGGAGCGCUCCGUGCUUCCAUAAGCAUACCAGACGCACUCUAUAUAUAUAUAUAGGCCAUGGCUACUAUACUAUUAUGAGUAUUGGGCCCUUCGUACUCAUAAGUUGUUUUCGAUGACAGGGCUUCCGAAUCGACAAUCCAUUCCGUUAAAUAUGAUCUAGAGUAUUUGAAACUUCUAAAAAAUAAAUUUCGUAAUUUUUUGAAAUCAUAAUAAAGUCCAUCAAACGGGUAUAAAACGAAUGGUCAAAAUCGAACGACGUCCUAAAAAUAGAUGAUCGGAUCCUUCAAUUUAAGAUCGGAAUUAUUGAUCUUUAUCUAGAUAGUGAAUAGAAUUUUCUAUCAAAAAUUCAACAUAUUCCAAUUCUUUUACACCGUUAAACUAGCAAGUAUUCCACACCGGCCGUUAAAAAAUGUCAAUUUUGUGAGCUUUUGAUCGUAAGGUAAAUGAUGUCGAAAAAUUAUAAAAUUUGAUUUCUAAAAGUUUUAAAUGCUCUAGAUAAUAUUUAACGGUAUGGAUCGUCGAUUCGGAAGCUCUAUCAUCGAAAACAACUUAUGAGUACGAAGGCGAUCAUACUCAUAAAAGUAUAGUAGCCGGACUAUACAUAUAUGAGUAGAGCUAGAAUACUUGUAAAAGUAUCACCCAAGUGAUACUUGUGUGUUUUUAACCCUUGGAUGGAGAGAUGUGAGGUUGAGAUGAUGGUGAUAGGUGGUGGUAGGUGGUGGUAGCUGGAAUAGUGUUUGAUCCAAGGACUAUUAGUAAUCAAAAAGUAGAUCCAAUGGCUAAAAACAUAUAAGUAUCACUUGGGUGAUACUUGUAAAAGUAUUCUAGCCCUACUCAUAUAUAUAUAUAUAUAUAAUUAGGCUGGAAUACUAUUAGUAGUAAAAUUCUCUUUUUGCUAUUAAGAUUUUAACCCUUGGAUGAAAAAUUGUAGGGUCAGGAUGACAUUAGUCGGUUAGAGUUGAGUGCUCCUCCUAGGGUUGAGUGGUCUCCACUGAGUUAUAGUAUUUAAUCCAAUGGAUAGAAAUGAUGAAAAAAAUUGAUCCAAAAGCUAAAAAACUGAUAGCAACAAUGAAAUUUUGCUACUAAUAGUAGCCCAGUCCAACUCAUAAACCCAGUGGGGACCACUCAACCCUAGGGGGACCACUCAACUCUAACCGACUAAUAUCAUCCUGACCCUAUAAUUUUUCAUCCAAGGUUUUUUUUUUUUUUUUUUGAUCCCAUUCCUUAAUAGUAUUAACCGUAUACCUUGGAAUUUUUUCUUUUUUUCUUUUUUCUAAAUCCUCGAAUUUUUUUUUUUAUUAUUAUUAUUAUUAAUGGUACGUCGUCUACUCGGUGUGAGGCUAACCCGUGUAUCGCCAACUGCUCGUCGAAGAGGAGGAAGGACAUUAUCAUUCGGUGCUCUCCCUCGUUUAACCCCACUCGGUUGGAGGGCUCGGAGGAGUACACGAGGAGUUUUAGGAGGAAGGGGUGGGACAAGUACAGGGACUUGGAGAAGUGGUGGUACCUCACGGGUGAGCAGUUGCACCGGAACAUCCUCGUGGGGUCAAAGGGCCGCGGCUCGUGGAGGCGGCUGCUGAACUCGUCCAGCACGUCGAGCUUGGAGUGGUACAGGAGGAAGUGCUUGUGGUCGGAGGGAACGAGCACCGGGGGGCGGCGGCUGAAGGACGGCGAGGGCGAGGGCGAGGGAGAAGGCGAAAGCGAGACCGCGAGCAGGCGGCCCCCCGGGAGGAGGUCGAACAAGAGAAACAUGCUGCGGCAGGCCCGGAAGAACCGCCUCCUCAAGAACCUUCUGCCGUCGGCCGGGUCGACGAGAAGGACGUGGGCCCUGCCGACCGCCGCCUCGCGGUCCUCGCGGUUAGGCUGCUAAGGAUGGCACCGGUGCUGUCGCUAGCGUUCCGAGUGGCGGUAACGGCUCGAACUCCUGAACAAGCUGCCGCUGUGCCUACUGCUUCGCGUGCCGUGCGGCUCCCCGCGCGGCGUUUCCGGGAACAACGGACGUUAUUGUUGGUUGUUAAUUGUGUCUAGCAUAUCUUAUAUAUAUUGAUUCUUGAUGAUCAGGAGUUCCUUUACGUGUUAUAUAUAGUAGACUUAAUCCUCUAGCUACCGUAUAAUUACACAUGGACGCUUGUUCAGACGCAGGUAGCACCGCUCACGCCGGCCCUACCCCGGGAGGUCCGAUAACGGCCUGUGCAAGUGCUGGACGUCAAGGAAGACGGCCUCCAGACCCUACCGCGGGAGCUUGGCCAAGGGCAGGUCGAAGUCGAGCUCUUCGAACCCGCGCCGGCGGUCGCUGCGGCCCUAGCCGGGCCUCUUAGGCAAGACGCUCUCCACCUGGAAGAAGUCGCUGGUGUAGGGCAGCUUGCGCAGCGGGCGCUAGCCUGGGCUGUCGACCAAGUAGCUGUCCAUAUAGCUGGCGUCCGGCUGCUCGGAGAAGUGCAGGCCGUACCGCGGAGCCUUGCUCAACAAGUACUUCGAGUUGCAGGCCUCGGGGCGCUCCGGACGCUCGUCCGGGUCCAGGUCGCACGGCCUGUUCGCGUACGGGAGCUCGACGUCCGGCUCGUGCCACGGCAACAGCGUCUACUGCGGCCGGGUCGACCUCAGCAGCCGAAAGCCGCACGUACCCCGGCACAGCCGCCAGGUGCACGCCUCCCGCGGCCGACCCAGCCUCUAGCGGCGGAACUUAAAUUCGUCUUGCAGCCGCAGCCUCCGUAACCGACUGUCCUACCACCGCUUCUGCUCCGGCCUGUCCUUCUCCUACGGUUCUCCCCGGCUGCCAGGCCGGCACCGGUACCGCUGUCUCUUUCUUCCGGUGGGAGCGAGCGAGUCCCUCUUACUUACCCCUACGAUAACUUCCAAUCUCUCUCUCUCUCUCUCUCUCUCUCUCUUUCUCCCCACUCAACACUACCAGUUUCUUACAUCCUUCCCACCUCUCUCUCUCUCUCUCUUUUUCCCACCACAUGUACCCCAACCUUAAUUCACCCGAUUCUUAUCAUUCCCCGUCUCUCACUACCUCAGGUCCUAAACUCGACAAACCCUCUCUUUGUAUUCCGACCGGGGGGUAAAACCAACCUUAAAAGAGAGUAAAAAAAAUUCCCCUUUUUUUUUACGGGUUUCUAGGGAUUAAUUUACAAUCCCUUUUGAAGUUUUGGGGGUGCACUAAAGCGUAUAAAAGUAAAAUCAUAGGACACAAAAUUGCACAUAGUUCAAUCAUGGGACACCAAAGCGUGAAAGAGUGAAACCAUGGUACACCAAAGUUUACAUAGUUCAAUCAUGAGACACCAAAGUUUACAAAGUUCACGUAGUUCAAUCAUGGAUAUAAAAAUUUUCAUGGUUCAGUAAUCACGAACAUUUAAAAACCGGGAACCUAAUUCCCUACACGCCAAUCCUACUUAACCCGGGGGAAUCACACUCACCCACCAACCAAAUUAUCAUAUUAGAUUGCCUAUUUUUACUAGUUUUCAUAUCUAGAUUGCCAUUUUUAAAUGUUCGUGGUUCACGAACCACGAACAUGUUCGUGGUAUCGGCCUGAUAUAUAUAUAUAUAUAUAUAUAUAUAUAUAUCUUAAUCCGACCUUAUGAUAAUUAUCAUUUUGCGAGAAAAACGAUAGUUCAAAAAUUANUAUAUAUAUAUAGAGUUGAGCUAGAAUACUAUCGGUAGCAAACGGGCUCCGUUGCCACUCAUUUGUUUUCAAUGAUGGAGCCUCCAAAUUGAUGAUCGGCACCGUUGAAUAUGAUCUAUACCACUUGAAGUAUCUAGAAAUCAAAUUUUAUGCUUUUAUGAUAUUGUUCUCUUGUCCGUCAAGUGGGCGUAAAAAUGAACGGCUAAAAAUGAAUAUCCUCUAAAAAAUAAUGAUAGCAAUUUUGUAAUGAAGAUCGAGAGUCUAGAUCUUAUUCUAAAUAGUUUAAAGAAUUUUCUAACCAAAAUUUAAUUGAUUUGGAUAGUUUUACACCGUUAGACGAAAAAACGCCUCAUAUCUACCAUUAAAAUUACAAAAUUUGAAACCAUUUGAUCAUUAGGUUAAUAAUGUCGAAAUGAUUUGAAAUUUGGUUUAUAGAUACUUCAAGUGGUAUAGAUCAUGUUCAACGGUGCUGAUCGUCAAUUUAAAGGUUCCAUCAUCGAAAACAAAUGAGUGGCAACGGAGCCAGUUUGCUACCGAUAGCAUUCCAGCUCAACUCUAUAUAUAUAUAUAUAUAUAUAUAUAUAUAUAUAUAGUUGAGCUAGAAUNNNNNNNNNNNNNNNNNNNNNNNNNNNNNNNNNNNNNNNNNNNNNNNNNNNNCUUUGAUCUAAAAUUUUAAUGUCAUAUUAUCACGUUUUGUAAGAUUUUUAUUUUCAGUCAUUGAUUUUGAGCCCCUUUGUUCACUAGGUAAAUAAUAUCGAAAAAUCCCAUAGUUUAUUUUCUAGAUACUUCAAAUACUCUAGAUCAAGUUUAACGGAGCCGAUCAACGAUUCGAAAGUUGCAACAUGAAAAACGGCAUGGAAGCACGGAAGGCUUCGUGCUUCCAGAAGCAUAGUAGCCUCACUCUAUAUAUAUAUAUAUAUAUAUAUAUAUAUAGGCUAAUGCUACUAUCCUAUUAAUAGGAUAGUAGCAUUUAUCCUAUCAAGUUGUUCUUGAUGAUAGAGAUUCCGAAUCGAUUAUCGGAGCCGUUGAAGUUGAUCUAGAGUAUUUAAAAUAUCUAGAAACUAAAUUUUAUAAAUUUUGAAAAUUAUUUACAUGGUGAUCAAAGUGUUGUAAAAUAGACAAUUUUUGACAGCCUAUAUGAGCCGUUUGCUUAUUUAAUGGUGUAGAGCAAUUCAAAUUGCUUGAAUUUUUAAUAGAAAAUUCUUCCUACUAUUUAGAUAAUGUUUGAUAACUCUGAUUAUGAAUUGAGAAAGUCUAACCUCUAUUUUAAGAAGGUUAUUCAUUUAUGACCGUUUAUUUUUUCACUCUUCGAUGAACUUCAUAAUGAUUUUUAAAUAUUAUAAAAUUUGGUUUAUAAACAUUUCUAAUUGUGUAGAUCAAUUUCAACGGUGCCGAUUAUCAAUUUGAAGUUCCGAUCAUUCAAAAUGACUUGAUAGGACAACGUCCUCAAUCUUAUUAAUAGAGUGACGUAGUACGCCCAGAGAUGUGAUAAUAAAGAAAAUACGGAGUGAUUGAUUAAAUAGGUGAUUACGUACACUCUACACAAUGGAGAGGUAGCUGUAUGUUUACCCGGGAGGAAUUAAUUAAACCUGGUGAAUUAAUUUUCCCCGGUAAUCCCAACCUUUCCUGUUUUCCAAUCGGAUUUGAUACCUAUACUAAAUUAUAAAAAUUACUGACAUACACUAAAGUGGAAAACCUAGAAAGAGGGUUUAAUUGUACCAAACCACUCCAAGAAUUUCACUGGGGAAGAUUAGUUAUAUAUACAGAUAACUUUUCUUACACUCAGUGAACUCCUAAGGGAUCGGGAUCGAUAUAUAUAUACCAGUAAUCUACACGUAGGGUAACAAUAACACCAGGUGUUAAAUAUAACGAAACUACCCCUAAACUAAACACCAAUAAGAUCGAGAUCAGAAUUAGGAUAUUUUACUAGUUAACCGAUAUCAUAUCCCAUUAAUUGAACAUGCACAAUUAAUCACGCAAGACUGAGCAAUGAAUAAUAAUAAAAAAUUUUCAACCAGAAAGAUACAGAUCUUUCGCGACCAUCUUAUGUUAGAAAUAAUCGGCUGUAGACAUUAACCUAAAAGAUUUUUUCAAUAGAACGUAACUGUGAUGAUAAUACAUGAAAUUAGUUCCUUUAAAAUAAUCUGUUUACACUUUAAUCACAAAUAUAUCAUAGAUACAAAGAUAUAUAUAUAUAUAUAUAUAUAUAUCAGGUAGACGAUAGNNNNNNNNNNNNNNNNNNNNNNNNNACUCGCAAUUUUUUUUUCUUUUCUCUCUAUAUUUUUUUAAUCAAUGCAUAUAAAUAAGUUUUAAAAAUAUAGCAUAAUUCAUUAUUUAAAAUAUCAUUACAUACAAUAAAAAUAUUUAAAGUCUUAAAACAAAAAAAUUUCGUAUAUAAAAGACGCGGUAAGAAAUUAGGGUUAGAAUUUUUAAGUAUGGAUAAAUAAAAUAUUGUAUUUUAAUUAAGAAAAUAUAUUUUUAAUUAAAAAGUAUUGAGCGGUACCCGUAGGUACUGCGGGUUACUCCAAAUACCCACAGCUUAAUGGGUACCCAUCUGUUUUACCCGUAAUUUUUUGGGUUUGAAAAGUGGUACCAUUACCAGCAAAUUUGCGGGUAACCCGUGGCACCGCAGGUAUAGGUCGAGAUUGCCAGCGUCUAUAUAUAUAGAGUCCGGCUAUUAUACUUUAUUAGUAUUGCUCCCUUAUACUCAUAAGUUUUCGCUCUUAGAAUUUAUUUCAUGUAUUCUCCACCAGUUUAGAUCAUACUAUCUCAACACACUACCCACUCACCCUAAGCGGACCACUAUCAAUCUAAGUCGGGGACCGCAUCAUCCUAACCACAUCCCAUCAAUCAAUGGUUAAAAAUUUAUGAGUACAAGGGGUUCUAUACUCAUAGAGUAUAGAGCCCCAGCCAUAUAUAUAUAUAUAUAUAUAUAGGCUAAUGCUACUAUCCUAUAUGGAUAGUAGCACUUAAUCCUAUCUAGUGUUCUUGAUGAUGAAGAUUCCGAAUCGAUAUCGGAGCCGUUGAAGUUGAUUUAGAGUAUUUAAAAUAUCUAGAAAAAAUUUAUAAAUUUUGAAAAUUAUUUAAUGAUGAUCAAAGUUACGUAAAAUCGACAAUUUUGACAAGCCUAAUAUGAUGCCGUUUGCUUAUUUAACGUGUAAGCAAUCAAAUUGCUUGAAUUUUUAAUAGAAAAUUCUAUCUCUACUAUUUAGAUAAUAUUGAUAACUCUGAUUAUGAAUUGAGAAAGUCUAACCUCUAUUUUUAAGAAGGUUAUUUAUUUAGACCGUUUAUUUUUCUACUCUUCGAUGAACUUCAUAAUGAUUUUUAAAUAUUAUAAAAUUUGGUUUCUAAACUUUCUCUUGUGUAGAUCAAUUUCAACGGUGACCGAUUAUCAAUUUGAAGUUCCGCAUCAUUCAAAUGACUUGAUAGGACAACGUCCUCAAUCCUAUUAAUAGGAUAGCAGAUGACUCUAUAUAUAUAUAUAUAUAUAUAUAUAUAUAUUAUUAUAUAGUUGAGCUAGAAUGCUAUCGAUAGCAAAGGGCUCCAUUGCUACCAUUUAUUUUCGAUGAUGGAGCCUCCAAAUCGACGUCGCACCUUGAAUAUGAUUAUUCUAUACCAUUGAAGUGUUUAGAAAUCAAAUUUCAAUAUUUUCGAUAUUGUUCUCUUAUCCAUCGAGCUGACACAAAAUGAACGGCUGAAAAUAAAUAUUCUUAAAAUGAUUAUAGGAGUCUGUAAUCAAGAUCAAGAAUAUAGAUCUUGUUUUAAAUAGUUUAAAUAAUUUUCUAACAAAAAUUUAAUUGAUUUGAUAUCUUUACGCCGUUAAACAAGAAACGUCUCAUAUCGACCCAUUAAAAUUAUAAUUUGAAACCCAUGUCAUUAGGCAAAUGAUGUCAAAAAGAUUGAAUUUGAUUUCUACAUACUUCAAGUGGUACAGCAUAAUAUUCAACGUGACCGAUCGUCCGUUUAGAGGCUCUAUCAUCGAAAACAAAUGUGUGAAGAAGUCGUUUGCUAUCGAUAGUAUUCUAGCUCAACUCUAUAUAUAUAUAUAUAAUAAUAUAUUAUAUUAUAUAUAUAAUAUAUAUAUAUAUAGAAUUAGGCUGGAAUACUAUUAAUAGUAAAACGCUCUUUUGCUUAUCAGCUUUUUAACCUUAUGGAUGAAGAAUGCUGAUAGGGUCGAGAUGAAUUACUUAGUCGGUUAGAGUUAAGGGUCCCCCUAGGCGUUGCGUGCGUUCCAUGGCUAAGUAUUUAAUCCAAUGCGUUAGAAGCAUAAUUGAAAAUUAGUGAUCCAAAGGCCUAAAAACACGGUAGCAACGAAUGAAUUUGCUUACUAAUAAGUAAACCAGACCCAGUCCAACUAUAUAUAUAUAUAUAUAUAUAUAUAUAUAUAUAUAUAUAUAUAUAUAUUGUGGAGCGGGAAUACUAUUAAUAGUGUAAGAAUAGUAUUUACUAUCAACUUUUGAUCAUUGAAUUGGUAGGGUUUAGUUGAGAUUGGUAAAACAGUAAUAAUCCAAAUAUAAAAAUUAAUGUUAGAUACUAUUCAUGUACUAUCAGUUGUAUACCAGGUGAUCUCUCUCUCAAUAGAUGGUAAAAAUUUGGUUGUAUUUUUUGCUUCAUGGAAUGCUGAAUAGAUUAGCACCGGCUAGUGAGAGUGAAAGUUGUUGGAGGGAUAGCAUAAACAAAUGGAAUAGGGAGCAAGCAUUCCACGCGACACCACUCACUAACACUUAUCAUAUGCGUUUUGCAACUUUACAAAAUAAAUGGGCUUCUUUAUCCAAUGCUCUUUUAAGUUGCCCUUGCUUUUUCAAUCCACAUUGGGCUAGUGCUUAAGCUUUUAGAGCGCUCACCAUUCCCCCCUCUUUUGUUGGUUGCACAUUGUUUAGUUUAAUUAUUAACUUACGUAAUGAGCUUAGCUUAUUGGAAGGCUCGAAUUCAGUUCAAAUAUUUACACUGAUCAUUACAUAAAAGAAGUCUUUACAAUAUAUAUAGGUUCUACUGAUACACUCUUUUCAGUGUGAUCUAAUGAAAGCCAAAUAAAACCAAAUUGAAAGAACUGGAUUAAAUCAUACUUGCAAAAUGUUUUUCUUGACAUAUGUUUGAAUUAUACUAUCACGGGGGUUAAAUCCAAUGUGAUCAUAUGAGAACUAGACAAAAUUGGAUUGAAACAAGAUUUAACCAAAAGAAACUGAGCAAAAAGUGACAUAGGUAUGGAUCAAAUUCUAUUGCCAAGUUACUACUAGAAAAGCUUAAGCUAAAUAAGUGAAAAAACUCUUUAGACUAUAUAUGUUUAUGGACCAUUAUUACUAUUUUUAUAUAUUAUAGGACUGAUAUUUUUGGCAUAAUGAAAUAAUUCAUAUAUAAAUAAGUUGUGAUCAGCAAGAUUUUGUUGUCCUCUGUGGGCCUAAAUGCAAUAGUUCUAUUGGAUAUGAUUAGGCUGGUUUGGGACAAAAUGGUAAAAGUUGGUGAGAUCAUUGGUGGUCAUGUUAUUGGAUGUAGCACUAAUUAAUUUAGUCCCAAUUCAAGAAUGAAUAAAUAUAAGAUAAUUAAAGAUGCCAUCAUGGAAAGAUUGAGGAAGCAUGAUUAGUUUUUUGUGAGUGCUAUUAGAUUAGCUUUGGACAAAGUUAGGAGAAGCACUGAAUGGGUGCAUGUUUGGCCUCGCUUCUUGCGCUAUUUUUGUAUGAAAUGUACGUAAUUGUGUUGCUUGUUUACUACGUGUUUUCGAAUUGUUUCAUUGCACUGCAGCUUCACUCAAAAGCUGUUUGAAAACUUCCCCAGUUUUUCUCUUGUUUGAUGCUGUAAAAUUCUGGUCUAACCCGACCACUUUACUCAACCUGGUGGAUUUGGUCGAAUCUGAGUGAGCAAGUUCACUAGGCUGGGCAUAAAAUUACUUCGAAAACUAUGGUUUAGCAAGACAGAUCAUAUUUAUCUGAAAUUAGGGCUAGACCAUUCUGAUCUUUGCUCAAGUCUAUUAAGCACUUCUUGCAGAAGCAUGAUCAAGCAAACUGCUCAUUAAUUUGCUCUUCUCUGAGAAUCAGAGCCACACCGAUCCUAGGGCUAGUUAGAAUAGUGUUAUAUGUGGAGUCAUUCCUCGUGCCUACAUUAACAAUGAAAAUUCAAAACAGAUUUGUUGAAUAUAAUGAUUAAAUUGUUGGAAAAUCUUUCUGAUCUUUUAUUACAAUAUUCUUUAAAAACCAGUUCGGAAAUUUAAUUACAAGUUUUGAAAUAAUCCGAGAAAGAAAUUAAAUAACAAAUACUAUAAAGAAAAGGUUUAGAUAAGCUCUGUGAAUCGAGGCGCGCAGAGCACUGUCCUAAAAAUGAAAUUGUCCCUCCACGUGCGAGACUUCCCAGCAAUUACUUCUAAAGAUACAACGAUCACGUUCGACCCCGUCGGCACGCUUCCAAGGUGGCGCAAAAUGAACCUAACAAGCUUCAGAUUCAGUAAAAGAAAACUCGGCGAAAAUCCAAAAAGCAGAAAAAAGAUGAGAGGCUUUAGGUAUGGUCGGAUUAUUAUUUAACUCGUGCAACCUCGCUCCAUAUUUCAGUAUUACGAUAAAGAUAAAUAUAAGGAUUAAAAUAAAGAUAAAAACCAAAAAAUAAAAUAAAGCGGGUGUAAGGUCCACGCGCGCCGCCGCCUGCCCUGCCCGGCUCGUGGCAUGCGUGCGUGUAUUUAAACAAGAGCAUUACUCUCAUUUUCUUCAAGCAAUUAGCUUGAGAACAAGGGAAUAUAUAAAAACAACAAACAACCUUUUGGUUUUCAAUGUAGGACUAAACAUCACACGUGAAAAUUUUAGUUGGGCUCCCAAAGCGGCCCAUUAACAAUUAUUAGGUUCUUGAUGGGUUCUCAAGAGGCCUUAAUAAGUUUUAAAUCAUAACAAACCCAAUAAAAUCCAAUAUAAAUCAUAUAUUAUUCUCUGUCAGCUUAAGCCAGUGAAAAAUAAUAAUUGUUUUCAUAAUUAAAUAUGAUAUUAGAGUAGGAGGUCUUAAGUUCGAAUCUGGCUAGACUCCUAACAUUAUUAAUUUCCUCCCUUUGGAGAUAAACGGCUGUUUCAUUAUCAUUAAGCAAAACUAGAAAAAAAUAUAUUUAUACCAAAAUGAUUAGGCAUAGCUUCAUUGCCUCGUGAUGUUUGCCCAAUUCUGUUCAACUCUUUUUGGGAAAGCAACAAGUGCUCGCGAGGUUCACACUUUAGUUAGAAUCUGAACCAAACAAAUCCUAGAGCUAGUAAUAUAUUAUAUUAUAACAUUCUGUGGUUUAUAAAAUAUAGUAUUUUACUGUCUCGUGGCUUAUAAAUUUGCAGUAUUACAAAUUCUAAUGGCGAAACAAAAGUAAAUCACAAAAUAGCAAAGUAGAAUUUUUUAAAUCACAAGUUAACAAAGUGAAAAUGCGUGAAACCUAGGGGUGGAAACGAGUCGAGCUCGAGCGAGCUUACUUCAGCUCAAGCUUGGCUUGAAAUUAAUUUCGAGCCUAAAUUUAGGCUCAAGCUUGGCUUGAAAUUAAUUCGAGCCAAGCUCGAGCGAGCCUAACUUCGAGUCGAGCAAGCCUGAGCCCUAAACGAGUUGCUUGAAAUUCUUAACAUCGUGCAAUCUAUAGUUUAAUUUUUAUAAAACAUUAUCUAAAAUUUAAUAUAAAAAAAAUCUAAUAGUUUAACGUACGAAAUGAAUGCAUGAAAUACGAUAUUAUAAUACUAAAAAAAUUAGGAAAAACUACUUUGCGAGGAAGUGAAAAAGAGAAAAAGAGAGCAAUUAGAGUAGGAUUUUGCUAAUUUGGUUUUGUGGGCCCAAUAAUCUAAAUUCUAUAUACAUAUAAUUAAAAUACAUAAUAAAUAUUUUUUAUAUAAUUAAAAUAUAUAGUAUAUAUAAUUAUAUAUAGAGAGAGUUUGGCUACUAUAUAUACUUUUAUGAGUAUAAACUUCUUUAUACUCAUAAGUUUUUGACCGUUAAGCCUAUUCUUUUGACCAUUUCCAUUUGUUAAAUCAUACUAUUCAACGAACCGCCCACUGAAUCUUAGGAGACCACUAUCAUUCUAAUCGCACAUUCAACAGCUGAAAAUUUAUAAGUAUAAAAAGGUCUAUACUUAUAAGAGUAUAGUAACUCAACCUUAUAUAUAUAUAGAAUUAGGCUACUAUACUAUUAAUAAUACAAACCGCUUGCUAUUAGAUUUUUGGCCCUUGAAUGAAGGGAUGUGCGGUCAGAAUGAUAGUAGCCCCCCCUAGGGCUGAGUGGGUGGCUAGUUGAAUAAUAUGAUCUAACGAAUGAAAAUCGCCAAAGGGAUAGAUCUAACGGCAGAAAAUUCGAUAGCACUAAAUGCUUGGUACUAUCGAUAAUAUAAUAGCCGAACUAUAUAUAUAUAUAUAUAUAUAUAUAUANAGAGUCUGGCUAUUAUACUAUCGAUAGUACUAAGCGCUCUGUACUAUUGAGUUUUCUCCCGUUAGAUCUGCCUAUAUACAUAUAUAUAUAUAGAGUCUGGCUAUUAUACUAUCGAUAGUACUAAGCAUUUGGUACUAUCGAUAAUAUAGUAGCCGGACUAUAUAUAUAGAGAGAGAGAGAGUCCGGUUACUAUAUUAUCAAUAGUACAAAAUACUUGGUGCAUGCUAUCGAAUUUUGUACUGUUAGAUCAUAUUAUUCAACUAAUCACUCACUCAACCCCAGAGGAUUACUAUCAUUCUAACCGCACAUCCCUUCAUACAAAGGCCGAAAACCUAAUUGUAAGUGGUUGGUAUUAUUAAUAGUAUAGUAGACUACAUAUAUAUAUAUAUAUAUUCUCGAGCUUUUCGAGCNUAUAUAUAUAUAUAUAUAUUUCGAGCUUUUCGAGCUUAAUUCGAGCGAGCUGAGUAAUACUCAAGCUCGGCUUGAAAAUAAUUUCGAGCCUAAAUUUAAGCUCAAACUUGCUUGAAAUUAAUUCUAGCCGAGCUCGAGCGAGCCAAAUAUCGAGCCGAACACGAGCUGGCUCACUCAUUUGCCAGCCCUAGUGAAACCAUAUGGUUGGGCUAAUUGUAGUAGUUCUUACCUCAAAACAAAAAAAAACAAAAAAAAAAGUUUUGGGUUGAGUAAUUGGAGCCUUGAAAUCUAAAUUGGUCCAAGCAAAGCAACUUCAUUGUUGGCCUUCUUUUUUACUCAGGCCUAUGUGCAUGAAACUAAAUGGUCCUUUCUUAAUUAGGCCCAGUGAUGUGACAGAGAGUUGUAACUUUGUCACAAUUAGGCUCAGCAAGCUAAAAAAUUAAGUCCCAGUGAUUUAUUUCCUAACAAAUACAAUCUUAGUUUUUUUUUUAAAAAAAAAUCUCUUUGUAACAGUUAUACCACAUGGAAUAUAUUCCAAAUUAAUUUUAUUUUGCUUUUAAUUCUAGGUAAUAUGGUAAUUUUCUUUUGAAACAAUGUUUUUAAAAACUUUAAUCUUGUAUAUUCGUACAAUAUGCAGGUCUGUAAUUAAAUAUUGUUACUCUUAUAUAAAAUAGCUGUGUCGAAAAUUUUUUUUAACUAAAAUCUGUGGGAUCACAACUUAAAAUGCCAAAUCACUUAAGACGAGAGAGAGAGAGAGAGAGAGAGAGAGAGAAAAGAGAGAGAGAGAGAGAGUUUCUUUCUUUAUAUAUAUGUAUGAAUGGAAGAAAAAGGGGCUUGGAAGAACCAAUCAUGCGUUACUUUUUUUGAGUAAUACUACCGUUACAGUUAUAAUCUAGGGACGCGAACUACAACAAAAAAAAGUAUAUAACGAUAUUUUUAAAUAUUGAUACAAGUCAAAAAAAAUACUGCUGAUUAAAUUAUCGAUACUUUUUUAAAGUGUUGCUAUAUAUGGGAUCACCGUAUGUGGGACCGUCUCAAUAUUUGGUAUCCACUCGUUCUGCGACCUGUGGCGAAGGGACACGUGGCGAUCGUAAUCUUUUAUGUUCCCUGCGAGAUCCUGGCGGCAGAAUUCCAACCGUCGAAACCUUAUCUCGUCGGCUGCUGCGGCGAAGGAGGAGAAGGAGAGAUGGUGAUCAUUUUUUUUUUUUUUACCUUUUCUAUUUGUAGGAUUAGUUGAGUAGAGGAAUUUUUUAUUUUUGAUUGUUUUGAGUUUUAUAUUUAGACCUUAAUAAAUUGUUCAAAACAAUUUUGACAUAAAUAUGAUACUUACACAAAAGUACUCCAAAAAUGUGUUCCUAUAAUAUAAUCUAAUUCUGUUGUAGUAGCGUUCAAUUCAAAAUAGAAAUUAAAAUAAGAAUAAAAUCAAAAUGGACUGAAGCCGAAAAUGGAAUGCUAAAAUUUCGCAAAAUGUUUGGUUUAGAGUAACAGUCGUAAUUAGAAUAAUUGCUUUUUAAUUUUGAUGGUUUGAAUAAAAUUUUAUCUGUAGUUCAGUAACUAAUAGUAUAACUAAUUCAGUCUCCAAUGCCUCGGUGACCAAAUUUCGGAGUCCUAAAUAAAAUUUUAUCAGUAGUUUGGGGACUACGGGGGGUGUUUGGUCUUUCGAAAAAGUACGGACAAUUAUUUUUCGGAAAAAAAAAUGUUUUUAUUAAAAACACUCUUUUUCAUAAUUUUAAUUUUUAAAUUAAUAAUAAUAAUAAUAAUUUUUUAUAAAAUUGAAAAAAAAGAAAACAUACUUUCCCUAUAAAUAAAAUAUAUGCGAUAAUUACUUCUACAUUCAAAAAAUUAUUUUAUAAAAUAAUUUUCGAAAAAUCAAGCAUUUCUUUUAUUUCACCAUCGUGAAAGGAUAAUUAAUCUAAAGACGUGUUUGGUUCGAAGUCCGAAUCGGAAUCGAAAUCGGAAUCAAAAUAACCUGGAAUCGGAAUGGAAUUACUCAUUACCUAAUUCUGUUUGGUUCAUCAUCUGAAUCGAAAUCGGAAUAAAUCAUUCUCAUUGUAGGUGUUUUAUUCAGGUGGAUAUAAAAAAUAUAAUCAAAUUAAUAUACUAACAUUAUCUUUAUAAUAUAUUAAUUUAAAUUCAAAUUAAAAAUUAAAUAUUAAAAAAUUACAUCAAAAUUUUCAAAUAAUGUCAAAAUUUUAAAUCUAUUUUUUAAAAAAAAAUUAAACUUUGAAGUUGAGUGGAUAAUUCAAAAUAUGAAACUAAAUUUUGAUUUAUUCAAAUUCAAAUUUAAAAUUACAAUUUAAAUUUUAAUUUGAAUCCAUAAAUUUAAUUUAAGUUUGAAAUAAAAUUUGAAUAAAACUUUAUAUAAAUUAAAAUUUAAUUUAAAUUCAAAUUCAUAAGUUAGAUUUGAAAUACUUGAUUAAAUUUUAAUUUUUAAUUUAAGUUUAAAUUAAAAUUUAAAAUUAUAUAUUUAAUUUUUAAAUUGUAACUCAUAUUUUAUUUAAAAAAGCUGAAAAAAUAAAUUUAAUUAAAACAAAUAUCCAUUCCGUCCGGAUUCAACUUUCAAUCCGACCUUCUAGGCCGAAUUGAAAAAAGGGGUGAUUGGGGAAUUCCAUUCCACUCGGGAAUCGGAAGCGGAAUGGGACUCCCGCGUACCAAAUACCCACAAACGGAUUUACCCAUUCCGAUUCCGAUUCCGAUUCCAAUGUAAAAAAGAAGCGAACCAAACAUGCCCUAAGGGUUAAUUGCAUACAUCUGAAUGUAAACAUAUUGAAUAACAAAUAUAUCCUUACAAAGUUCAAUCAUAUGUCAUAUGUCAAAUUCUAAUAUUUUCAAAUAUGUCUCUACCGUUAAAAUCCGUUAGAAAAUUUUAAUUAACCAUAUGUCAAAUACUUAACUUUGGUUAAUUUAUGAGAUAACUUGAUAUUUUUGUCCUUCUUAUAUUAUACUGUUGUACCUUUUUGAGUGACAUAUUUGUGGUGGCAAAAUUAUCAUUUGAUUUAAAAUAUAAAACAGUAUUAUAAUGAUAACAAAACAGAGAAAUAUAUAUAAAAAUAUUAAAAUUUUUUUAAAAAUAAUAUAUAAAAAUUGAAUUUUAUAGAAAAAUAUUUCUUAUUCUGACAUAAUGCAUUUAACCUUUUUUUUAUUUUUUAUUAUCUAUUAACUUAUAUGAAUCCACGAUGUUUUUUGUCAUGUGGCAAGUUGUUCUUCACCCUCACCAUUAUUUAACCCUUUCUAUUCCCUUCAUCAAACUUUUAUAAUUAAUACAUUUAAUUAAUACAUCUAAACGUUAUCAUUACCAAACUUUCAAUAACAAGUUGUCCUUCACGCAUUUGACCUUUUCCUUUUCCUUUAUAAAAUUUUCAAUUAAUAUAUGUAAUUAAUACAUCUAAACAUUUUCAGUAGCAAACUUUUCCUCCAACAGAUUUUUCAUCUCCAGUUAAUUCACUAAUUCUCUCUCCUCAUCUUUUUUCAUACACCGUCGCCUUCCUCCCUCCCUCCCUCCCUCCCUCCUUCUCUAGCUAAUACGCGCCCAUAUCCCCCCUCUGCUGCGGCUGAAGGGAUCGACGUCAUUUUCACUAUCAUCAUUACCGGAGAAGGAGUCGUCGAUUCUAUCUCUGCUACUAAUAGCAAGUGACCUUUUGUGACUGUGGUAAGUAAAAUACACAAAAGAAUAUUUUAUGUUAUCCAUCUUACUAUUAAUUAUUUUUUAUAAUUUUAUCUGCUCAAGCACGAGUCUUUUUACUAGUUUUUUUAAUAAAAGUAGAAAGUUGCUUGGUCCCAUCUCUGUCCCUUGGGACUUGGUAAUAGUGUGGCCGGCAGGACUGAUCGAAUCGACCUUUGGAGUCUUCCCUUCGUCCGCGUGGUGUCAGACUUUCACGAUAUCCGAUGCCAGUCCAGCCGGCACCAGCUAUCCAGCUAAUACAUCAACGCAAAUUAUAGCAUAAUCCGUGCAGUCAGUCAGUCGGUACGCACCGCCACCUGCCGAAAUUUCGGCCGGCACUCUAGUGCUGUCCUCGCCAAAAGACAAAACCAGCAGACUUGACUCUCCGGCAGCAAAAAAAAAAAAAAAAAAUUAAAUUAGUUUAAAUUUCAAUAAAAAAAAUCUAAUUAAAAUAAUAAAAUAAUGACAAUUUAGUUAUAUCUAAUUUAAAUUUAAAAUUUUAAAAAUUUGAUUGACGGUCUAAUUCGGAGCCGUUGAGGAGCGAAUGAUUAUUAGGCGGGCCGAAUUAUAAAACAUAUAUUUCAUCCUGUCAUGAAAGCGGAUCCUCAGAUUUGCAUCGUUUGUAUCUAAAAAAAAAAAUAUUAAUUGUAUAGAGAUUCUUGCAAAUAUAGUAAAUUACAGAUAUAUUCUACAAAAUUCAAUUUUUAAAUAUAUUCCUACCGUUAGAAUUUAUUAAAAAAAUUUAGUUAAUCAUAGGUUAAAUACGGAUUAAUGAAUGAGACGAGUUGAUCUUUUUAUCAAUCUUUAAUUAACAGUUGAAAUUUUUGUAGGGACAUAUUUCUAAUACGAAAAUGUCAUUUCACUUAUAAAAUAGACAGUAUUUUAACGAUAACAAAUCAGAGGAAUAUAUUUGAAAAUAUUAAGACUUUUGCAGGGAUAAUAUUUGAAAGUUGAAUUUCGUAGAAAUAUAUUUAUAAUUUACUCUAUUUGUAGGGAUAUGUAUAAAAUUAACCCAAAAAAAAGACACCUGACCACACAUUUUGAGACCGUUUGAUUAAAAAUUUAUAAUAUUUUUAUAAAUAUUACAUAUUUUAUAUUUGAACGGUAAUUUUGUUAUUAACUUAUCAAGUUACUUGGAUUGAAAAGUUAAGCACUAGUAUAUUCUUAUUGCUGAACCGCUAAUAAUUCUCAUUCAGCAUAGAAAUAAGAAUAUUAUUUAAUUCAUGAUAAUUUGAUAUUUUUACCAUCUAGGAAUCUAUAACGAUUCUACUAUUUCACUAACGUUUUCGAUAACUACUCAACUUGAGUUGAAUAAUAAUAAUUUAAAUUUUUUUAGUAUAAAAUAUAAAAAAUUAUCGAAAUAUUACAAAUCGUGAACGAAACAGAUUCGGCCAUCUCAUUUAUCCUCUAUAUUAAAAAUUACAUUAGCCAUUAUUAAAUGAGAAAAUGUUACCACCCUCCCUGCAUUUUGUAACAUUUUGUCAUUAUUUUGAAUAAGUAUAAACAUUGUGAAACAUGCUUGGAGAAAUAAACUUUGUGAAACAUGCUUGGAGAAAAGUUAGUAAUAAUUAAUAUAGUAUAAUCAUAUAAAAUAAAUAAAUUUUAAUAAAUUAUUAAUUUUGAUGGUAUUGGUAGUAAAAAGUUUUUUGGCCAAUUUGCAUAAAAAAUCUACUAAUUUUGAGCUUUUGCAAAACUGGGCUGUCUUUUUUGAUUUUACAGAUUCGGUCCGAAUUUUCAGUAAACUGACCAAAAUAUCCUUAUUAUUUUUUCUUUCUCCUCUUUCUCUCUCCUCUUCGUUUUUCGCGUUUUUUUUUUCUUUCCCUGGCCAAAAAAGUAGCGUAGGCAGAGACGGAGACGGAAACGGUCCACCUCGCCUCUCACCCUCAUGCUCUCUCCCUCGCCCUUGCCCUCGCCCACGCACCCCCCACCUUCCUCGCCUCCGACCUGCCGAGACCACGCCGCGAUUUUUUUUUUUUCCUCUCCGACUCUCCUCCACCGUCUCCGACGACGACGCCUUUCUUAUCCUUCCCCGCCCUUCUCGUUCUCUCCCUCUCCCUCCUCCUCUGCCGCCUCUGACGACGACGCAUUUUCGUCGACGCCGACACCGUGGAGGUUGCUGCGGCACUGCAGCCUCGGAAUAGGGGGUCCUUAGCGGCGUCGUCGCUGGCGCCGUGGCUGUUGGCAGAAAUGGGUGACCAAAAAAAUUAUAAAAGAAACAAGAAAAAAAAUAAAAAUAAAAAAUUAUAGAAAAAAAAGAAUGAAGAUAAAAUUACAUCGUUAACUGCAAAAAAAAUUAUAAGUUGCACUACUUAAGAUGUAAACUGCAGCUUUAAAAUAAAAAUUAUACUUUUUAAACGAAAAUUACACUCUUUGGGAGAUAUUUAUACUGUUUUUCCUCUUAUUGCAAUCUUUUAGAUAUAAACUGCAUCCAUUAAGAUGAAAGUUACACUCUUUAAACGAAAGUUGCACUGUUUCUCCUCUUGUUGCACAAUUUCUCCUCUUGUUAUAUUAUUUUUUAUCUUAAACUGCACCACUUUAAGAGAUAUUUAUACUGUUUCUUCUUUUGUUGCACUAUUUUUUCUCUUAUUACACUAUUUCUCCUCUUAUUACACUGUUUUCCCUCUUAAAGGGUGCAGUUUAAGAUAAAAAAAUAAUAUAACAAGAGGAGAAACAAUGCAAUAAGACGAGAAACAGUAUAAAUAUCUCUUGAAGUGGUGCAGUUUACAUAUCAAAGAGUGCAAGAAGAUGAGAAACAAUGUAAAUAUGUCUCAAAGAGUAUAAUUUUUAUUUAAAGAGUGUAACUUUCAUCUUAAUGAAUACAUUUUACAUCUGAAAGAGUGUAAUAAGAGGAGAAACAGUGUAAAUAUCUCCCAAAGAGUGUAAUUUUUAUUUAAAGAGUGUAAUUUUUAUCUUAAAGGUGCAGUUUACAUCCUAAGUAGUGCAAAUUAUAAUUUUUUUUGCAGUUAACGAUACAAUUUCAUCUUUAUCCUUCUUUUUCUAUAAAUUUUUAUCUUUAAUUUUUUUCUUACUUCUUCUAUAAUUUUUUUUUGUCAUCCCUCUCUGCCAAUGGCCACGGCGCCGGCGACGACGCCGCUAAGGACCACCCGUUCCGAGGCUGCAGCGCCGCAGUGACCUCCACGGUGUCAGCGUCGACGUCGGCGUCGGCGCCAGCGAAGAUGCGUCGUCGUCGGAGGCGGCAGAGGAGGAGGGAGAGGGAGAAGGAGAGGACGAGAAGGGCGGGGAAGGGCGAGAGAGGCGUCGUCGUCGGAGACAAUGGAGAAGAGUCGGAGAGGGGGAAAAAAAAGAAUAUCGCAACGCGGCCUCGGCGGAAUCGGAAGCGAGAAAGGUGGGGGGUGUGCGGGCGAGGAUAAGGAUGUGCCGGACAAAAUCGAAGUAGGCCGCCUCCGCCUCCGCCGCUCUCUGGGAAGAGAAAGAAAAAAGAACGAGAGAAAAAAAAAGGAAAGAGAAAAAGGUAUAAGGGUAUUUUGGUCAGUUUGCUGAAAAAGCGGACCGAAUCUGCAAAAACGAAAAAGGUGGUCCGCUUUUACAAAAGCCCAAAAUAAAUGAAUUUUUUAUGCAAAUUGGCCAAAUUUUUUUAUCCAACAUUUUUCUCAAUUUUUUGAGUUAUAGAACAAUGUGAUAUGUCAAUUUGUUUAGAUAAAUUUUGAGAUGAUAGGUAAGUGCAUGAUAGUAAUUGAUAUAAUAUUUAAUGCAAAAAGAUAAUUGAGAAUGGGACUAAAUUGCAAGGAGAUAUUUUGUAACUUUUUAAUCGGAUGUGUUUUAUUGUUUUUUUUUUUUAAGAAAAGAUGCCAUUGUACUAUUAGUUAUUCACCUAUUAAUCUUACUAGUUAAGGGACCCGCGCAAUGCUGCCGGUAGUUAUUUUAAAAUAUAAUUUUAAAAAUUAGUUAUAAAAAUUAAUUUCAGAAUUUAAAUGGUGCAAUAAGUACAUCAAAAAAUUUUAGUAGGUAUAGUAGUCCCCCAUUAUAUAGUUAGUGAAAUAAUUUUAGUAGGUAUCGUAGGUCUCCAGUAGUUAGUGAAUGAGAAGAGAAAUUAUUAUUUAUGAUUCUCGCAAUUAAUUUUCAUCAAAUAAAAAAUUAACUUAAACAGCAUCAAUUUUUGUUAUUUGUUAAAGUACAAUUUAUAUGUGAAUGCUCAGUAUUACAAAAUUAAUAUUUAUAUUUAAUACCAGUAGUCUAAAUUAUUUAACAUUUAUUUAUAUAUUUUAUAUUUUAUAAAAAUAAGUAGUAAAUUAUAUAAUAAAUUAUUAUAUAAUAAUAUAUCUAUUUACAAAUAAAAUAUUAUAUAUAAUAAAUAAAUAAAUAUUUAUAAAUAAAAUUUUAUAUAUAUAGAAUGAGAGGGAUGUCUACUGUGGACUUCACUCUCACGUGGUCCACGAGGCCGAAAUGGCCUCGUGAACCCCAAGAAAACCCCCCUAUGAGCCCCGCUGUUUUUUGGCUCCGCACAGACCCGCGCCGCGCCGCGCAGUACCGCGCCCGCGCCCGCACCCAGCGCCGCGCCGCGCGCCCGUGCGCCCGCCACGGUGCGCUCCACGCCGGCGCUCGCCCGUGCCCCGCGUCGGCUCGCGUCCACGCCAGCGACGGAGCCGCCCCCGCAUCAGCACCCGUCCCUCGCCGCGCCCGCGCCCCGCGUCGGCUCGCAUCCACGCCAACACCGGAGCCGCCCCCGCGCCAGCGCUCCCCCCACGCCGCGCCCGCUCCUGCCCGCGGCAGCGCCCGCGGCCCGCGCCCCUCGCGCGCGCCUCGCCAGCCCCUGCGCCAGCGCCCGCCUCGCGCCGCGCCCGCGCCCCGAGCCGCGCCCGCUCCCGCUCCCGCUCGCGGCUACGCCCGCGCCAGCGCCCGCGCGCAGCGCCCUCCCCCGCGCCUCGACCUCCUCGCGACUUGUCUGCAGUUAUUGAGGAAUAAUAUAUAGUUAUAGAUACUAUUAGUUUUAUAUUUCAUAGUAUUUUGUUUGUAGGAAUUUUUUUUUAUUAGUAUAUGUUUGGUUGAACGGAAAAAAAUUCAUAUAUGUUUGGUUGGUGGAAAAAAUGAAUAAAAAAAAUAUUUACAUAGCUCAAGUUCUCGUUUAUGUCAAAAAAUAGCAAAAAAUAAAAAUUUCAAUUUUUUCUCAAAUUUAUAAAAUUACCUGUAUGAAAAUUUUUUUAAUAUCGAAUCAAAAAAUGAAAAACUUUUUUCAUACUGAAAAUAAUAUUAUUUUGGUUCGUUUUACGCUAAACCAAAUGUCUCCUUUGUAUAUUAGCAUUUGAUGAUGGCAUGGAUUUAUUAUUCAGUGCAACUCAAUGCUAGGGAUGUCAACGGGUAUGGAUAUCUGAAAUAUUGCCCGAAUCCGAAUUUGAACGGGGCGGGUUUACCUGAGCUAAACUGGUAUGGAUUCAGUUAUGGGUAUAGAAAAUAAAAUCCGAUGGAUAUGGAUACGGAUAUGGAUUUUGUAUUUACCCGACCCAAACCCAAACCCAAAUCCGAAUAAAUUAUAUAUAUACAUAAAUUUAUUUUUAUUUAUUUAUAUAAUAUAUAAAAUAUUUAAUAAUUUUUAUUCCUUAGAUCUUUAUUCAACAGUAUGAAUUUUUAAAACCCGCCGGGUUUGGAUUUCGAAUUUUUGGUCGGAUACGGAUAUGAGUAUGAAUUUUUAAAAUCUGCCGGGUUCGAGUCUGGAUACAAAUUUUAAUUUGAUUUUUGGGUUCGGAUUCGAAUUUUUAAAAACUCGAUACAAACCCGACCCGUUUACAUCCCUACUCAAUGCUGGAUGGAAAUCACAAGAGUCACAUGAGCCAUCAUUCCAAUCAUAAGAUUGAUAGAUUUACUACUCUGAAUAAGAUUGAUUAUAUAUAUUUACAAGUAUUGACGGAUUACUUGCCGAGUUUAUAUUUGCUAAACUUGUUGGGGCUCAUUGUAGCUAAGUGUUGAAUAUAAAAAUAUAAAAUUACCAUUCUUUACUAGCUUAAGUUUUAAAGAAUAACGAUUAUUUCGUAUUAUUUAAUAUGAUAUCUGUAACGAAAUAGCGAGAUCCGAAGAUUGGAAACCCACUACUUCAAAUAGUGGAUCAAGAAUACCACUAGCCCAAGAUCAAACCAAACUAGAGAAGAAGAACAAGAACAAUGGAGAACAAGACACACUUUCUCUUAAUUAAAAUUAAAGGGAUUCUCACACACAUAAGCUUAGUCCAAAAGGUGGUGAAAAUACNAUUAAAAGUGAAAUUUAAAUUAGAGGAAUUUCAUAUUACUAUUGAAAGUUUAAAUUCAAUGAUCAUAUUGUCAAAUUAUUUGAAAAUUUUCUUAUAUGAAAUGCCAAAUUAUGAAAGGAAAGAUAGAGAGAGAAAAAGGAAACAAAGAAAAAAUAAAAAUUUUGAAAAUAUAAUAGAUGUAAAAUGACUAAAUUGCUCAUAUAUUAAAAGACAAAAAUAUCCUUUUUUGAGGUACCUGGUAACCGGUAUCUCUCCCAAAGUGACCUACUAUUGCAGGUCACAAUAUUAAAAAAACUAAAUCUGAGCCGUUGAAUACGCGUAAAUGAACGGUAAUCAAAAAAAAAAGUAUAGAAGCAUUACUCAUACAAAUAAUUACCUUACCUUUAUGUCCCUAUUGAAUAUGCUUUAUAAUAUGAAGAAUUCGUGAUGCACAACUCAAAUUCAUUAAUUUCUAGAUGCUUCCUUUCAAGAAAGUAUCUAAGUCUGUUUUUAAGUAAAGUGCAGUGUCUAAUACCAAAAUAAUCUAAAACCAAGAGAUACCUGCAUAAUGCAAAAUCAAGGUAGCAGCAUAAUGCAAAGUCAAAGUUGAAUGCGAACUGCAAAUUAGACAAACAAUUUGAGUUUGAAUGCAAAUUUAUUCAGUCUCAUGACGAAAGAACAUACAUUAGGUAACUACGUCAAUAAAAAGAGUCUUACUCACUUUGCUUGGACUAGGAUAAUUAGGAAUUCAACUCUAAGACCAACCUGAAACUCAUCGAGGAAUAAAUUAAAAACCGACUCAAGAUUCUGAAGAAAACUUACAUGACCUACCAAAGUCUAGCAAAUAAAAAUAGGUGGAACUGAGAUAUUUAAUGUACAAAAUAUACCUAUAUAUAGCAGGUGACCCAAAUGACUGGAAGGACAUCAUAACGGUAUAUUUUAGUUACGUACGUUGAUUUCAGUUUAUUUGGAUAGCAUAGUAUUUUACUAUUAAAAUGUUCAUAAUAUCUGUUCAGAAAAAACCACCAAGCGAAGUGUACGGAUAGAUAUUUUUCACUCUAUAAGGACAUUGAAUUUCUUUCGGAAAAGACUACUACCACCGGAAGAUAUGAUUAUACCUCAGGAAUGGUGGCAAAUCAGACAAUUAAUAGCUUAUCCUCAUCUUUUCCGGCUGAGGAUGAUACUUUUAUUGGAGUUUGAAUGUCAUAGAUUAAUUUCUUAGUUAAUCCCUCCGAAGCAAGGUUAUCAAGCUCAUCUACGAAUGUCAACCUUACUGUUGAUGAUAUCUCACAUUCUGUGCUCAAUAGUGCUAGUGAAUCUGAUCAUAGCAUUGCUAGGAAGAGAGCUCGAUCCCCUUUGACUCAAAUCCUUCAUACAAACAUAUAACUUCAUCCGGUCAAAGGAAGAAAAGCGGUAUAGAAAAUGAAGCAAUAGUGGAGAUUGUUGAAAUAGGAAAACAAAGUUUGAUCUUGUAUGAUAAAUUUAUCAGCACAAGAUUACCAAUCGAUCAAAUAUUCCUUCUAUCGAUGAGUGCAUGAUGAGAGUUUUUAAUCUGCCGAGGAUAACCAAUAAGUAUAUUUUGGCGGCACGCAAUGUAUUAAAAAGAUGACAAGAAUAGACAACUUUUUAUGAUCAUGAAUGACGAACUUGCAUUCAUAUGGCCGGGUCAACUGCCAAGUCGCAAUAGUCAUAUUUUCCUGGCUUGUAGAACUAUGUGCUUAUGUUGGUUGUAGUUUCUUCAUUGUUAUUAUCUAUAUGUUGUGUUUAGGUAUACUGGUUAUGUAUUUGUUUUGGUUAUCUAUAUGUUGGGUUUAGUCAUGCGGUUUAUCUAUUUGUUGUGCUUAUGUAUUUUCUCAUAUUAUGUUUCAAGAAAUAUUACUAGUUCUGCUUGUGUUUGUAUAAAAGUUUUAAUUGACUUAUCUGUGUCAUACUAGACAUUUCUCUUCAGUUAAUUAAGUUUCUAUGUUUAAUUGCUUGAUUGCAAUUUUGUUAUAGUUUGUGAUAUCUUCUUGAUUACGUUGUCUUUGUGGCAGCAGUGAUGGGUGAGUGAUUAUAUCGUUGUAUUUUUUUUUAAAACAACUGAUGCAAAUCUUAUAAUAAUAUUAGAUAAGAAUAAUAGCUAUUGGGGUCAAAUAUUUGCGCUCCUUGACCAGGCUAUAUAGCAUCCCAUAUUAUAUUGUACAGGUGGUAAUGUUGUAGACAACCUUUUAGCAACCAUUAGUUAAUUUGUGACAUUUUUGAAUGGUCAUUUAGCAGAGAGAGAUUACCAUUACUUUAAAAUGACGACCACUACAUUUAUUGAGCUUCGAGUUGAGCUAAUUGGAAGGGGCUUGAAAAAUGAGACUAGGAAUAUAAAUGUUGAUGAACAGCUACAAUUUUUUUAUUUUGUGCAAGCCAUGAUGUGUCUAAAAGGUGGCUGGCAGAAUCGUUACAAUAUUCAGAAAAAAUAAUUAGUAGACAUUUUAACAAUAUGCUAAAAAUUAUUAUAUAAUAUUGAAAGAUGAAUAUCUUAAUCUGCAGUCAAGUAAUCCUUUUGUGUAUCCAAAAAUUAAAAAUAAUUUAUAUUUUUAUUCUUUCAAAGUUGAUUAUAUACUUUAUUUAUGCUAAAUAGACCCUUUUUAGGUGCAAUAGAAGAUCCCUAAUGGAGAAAUCUUUUUUUCUUUAAUUUCAUAACUAGUGUGCUUUUUUUUUUUUUGGCCAAUUUGCAUAAAAAAUCCAAUAGUUUUGCACUUUUGCACUGUUAGAAGGACUGUUGCACUAUUCGAAGGGCUGUUGCACCAUUUUUUCUCGUGUUGCACUAUUAUUUCUUUUGCGGGUCGUGUAGUUCUUACCAUUUAACUUCAGCAAAUUUAAUUUCUUAGCGUCGAAUAGCAAAUACCGAGGCUGGCAAAUAGCAGGGCAGUUUUGGUCCGAGUUUCGAUGAGAGCGAGAUUGCGUAAAGCGCAAGGGGCGUAUUUAAUACCUGCGAGAACCGUACGUUAGGGUAUACGUAUCUCAGGGAAUACGCGAGCGGCGGAGGUAGACGAGGAAAUUUUGGUCAGGUGGCUGAAAAUUCGCCCCGAAUUUGUAAAAUCGAAAAAGAUGACCCGUUUUUAAAAAAAUACAAAAGUAGUAGAUUUUUUUAUGCAAAUUGAUCUCUUUUUUUUUUCAAAAUUUUUAAUCAUGAAAUUACCAGCUAAAUGAGGUCAGUCCACUAUUAUAUGGGUAGGGUUCGUGGCUUCGUGAUAUAGAUAGAUGUAGCAUUCCAAUCAGACGUACGGCCACCGCGUUCAACGUACGUAAUGCAUGCUCUGUCGCGUCCUUUUCUACGGCACGGCACAUCUUUAGUUUUUUUUUUUUUUUAACACAAUAAUACCACAGCCACGUGUGAAAUUGUUAUAGCUUAAAUUGAUCAGACCCAAUAUCUGUACGUUCUAAAUUCAAAGAGUAUAUAUAAAUAGGCCACAAAAACUUAGAGACAAUUAUUUAUAUAUUUCUAAAAAAUUUUAAACUCUUUUAUUUACCCACUUUUGAAGGCUAAUAUAAAAAAUAUAUUUUUUAAAAAUUUUUAAGUUUUUUUCACGUAUACUUUUAGAGUUAAAUUCAGUUAGUGAACUAUUAAAAAAAAACCGUUAAUUAUCUUCAUAAAAUUAUUAUUUUAUUAUUUCAAAUAUAUUCUUCUUCUGUUAUCAAUUUUUUAUAUUUGUCAUUGAAUUAGGGAUGAAAGAAAUAUUGUGACUUUUUGCUCUUUUAAAAUUUAAAUAUAUCUUUCUACGAUCACCAAAUUUUUUUCUUUGUCCUUAAAUUAAGACAAAAGAGGUAUGUUUUUGAAUUUGUUUAAACUCUAAUAGAAAUUUAAGUUAGAUUCAAUCCAAGAUGACUUAGCGGAUACUAAUAGCGAAAAUAUUUUUAAAUAAUGAAGAAAUAUACAAGGAUAUAUUUGAAAUAAAAAAAAUAUAGGUAUAUAAGAUAUUUUAAAAGUUUUGAAGGAUAUAUAAAUAAUUAUCCCAAAAAUUUAUGAAUUUAAAAUUUACAUGUAUACAUAAAGUAUAUGCAUAGCAUUGUUCUUAAUUAAAUAUUUCUUUUUGAAUUGUUUAGGCACCUCUCGAAGAACUAGCUAGUAUUGUUAUUUGUUAUUUUCACAUUUAAAUUCCCCUCAAAACGUACGUAGAUGAUUAAUGCAUGGUUCUCGAUAUUAGUUGGUUUAUCUCUCCAAGAAUUCCUCAUAAAUUAAUACCAACAAUUAAACAUUUCUAGUCAUUAAUCCAGGAUACUCAAAUUAAGUAGAGAAAGCACUUACACAAAUUGCAGCAAGGAAAAUACAUUAAUUUUAACCAUAACCAAACAUAUAUUGCACUGCUUUUAACACAUCUUUACUUUAGAGGAGAACAUAUAUUAAUUGUUGUAGCUUUACUUUGGAACUUCUCCUCCAUUGUUCACAUAAAGUAGCUUCUAGCAGUACUAGAUUUCCAUAUUACUUGCAAUAAAAGUACCAGAGAUGCUACAUUUGAUAUUUCCCCUCUCCAGUUUGCUAAACAAGCAUCAUAUACAUCUUCUCUUAUUCUUCUUUUUUCAUUACUACCAUCUUACAAAUCCCUUUGUCCUUAUCCUGCGAAUUGAAGUAAAAAGAAGCUGUAAUUAGCUAAAGCAUUGUUUGACUCAAGUAAGUUGUAAUAAUUAAUAUAUGGAGACCCACCACAAACUAUAUAAUUAGCACCUUAUGAGCUUCUCUUUUUUUUAAAAAAAUAAUUCUAGUAAUUAGUUAAGUUAUACUAUUUUAUUAAUAGUUAAUUAUUAUAGUUUUUAUUUACUAAAAAACUAAAAUUAUUGAAUUUAAUAAAAUUGUUAGUUAAACAUGAUAAAAUUCAUAAUUAAUAGGACUAAAUUACUUAUUUUUUAAAAAAAAUAAAGUUGAGGAAGUCAUUUCAACAUGGGGUCUCCAUAUAUACAUUUUUACUCAAAAGCAAUUUUGUUGCUAUUUUUUUAUCAGAAAUAUUAGUUUAGUUAGGAAGGGCCUUACCACCAUUUCUCUUGGGCACUCUUCAUACAACAUGCUUAGUUGUAAUAAGGAGGGGGAGGAGGUGAAGGAUAUUGGUGGUAAACAUGUGGAGGUGGUGGGGAUUUGUAUUUGUAGCCAUGAGGUGGGGGUGGUGACUUGUAAUGGUAUGGAGGUGGUGACUUAUGGUGGUGAUAAUGAGGUGGAGGUGGUGAGUUAUACUUGUAAAUAGUUGGAGGAGGUGGUGAGUUGUAGUGGCAAGGAUGAGAUGGUGGUGGUGGUGACUUGUAAUGGUAGGGGUGAUGAUGAUGGUGGUGGUGAGGAGGUGGUGGUGACUUGUGGUGGUAAAGAGGUGGUGGUGGUGGUGAUUUGUGUAUGUAAGUAGGAGGUGGUGGAGGUGGUGAAUUGUAAUGGUAGGGGGGGAGUUGAUGGUAAGGUGGUGGUGGUGGUGAUUUAUACUUAUAAAGAGGAGGAGGUGGAGGUGGUGACUUGUAAUAGUAGGGUGGAAGUUGAUGUUGAGGAGGUGGUGGUGAUUUAUACUUAUAAAGAGGAGGAGGAGGUGGUGGUGGUGACUUAUAAUGGUAGGGUGGAAGUUGAUGGUAAGGAGGUGGUGGUGAUGACUCAUGGUAGUGAAGAGGAGGUGGUGGUGGUGAUUUAUACUUGUAAAUAGGAGGUGGAGGUGGUGACUUGUAAUGGUAGGGGGGGAAUUGAUGGUGAGAAGGGGGUGGAGGUGACUUGUAGUGGUAAAGUGGUGGAGGUGGUGACUUGUAGAGGUAAUGGUGAUGAGGGUGGUGGUGCUCCUUGGGUGGUACUAGUAAUGGUGGUGGGGAAGGAGAGUAGAGGUAGUUUCCUUGUACCUUGAGAGGUAAACUCAGAGAGAGAAACACUAGCAAGAGAGUGAGAAGUAGGGAGGCCAUGGCCUCCCCCUUUUCCCCUCCUCUCCCUCCCAACAUUCUCACUAGUUUUGUUGCCUUGGUGGGUUGCUCUUCUCCUUGGAUUCUUUGGGCUUCUUUAUAUAGCCACAUUUUUCACCCUUGGUGCUAGAGAGUUCCAUGGGUAAUUAACUUGGUGUUUAAUUAACUUGGUGUUUAAUUAGCAAUGGUAGAAACCAUGAAAUUUAAACAAUUGCUUUGUAGUUUUUUGUAGUUUUUUUAUCCAACAAUGCUACUCAUACACUUCAAUCGUGAGUAUAUCUUACAUUCUAUUCAUCCAAUAAGUAUAAUAGUUUCAUUAAUCACAUUAAGUGGCUAGUAAAUGAUUCCGAUCUAUUAGAUCGAUAGGGUAUAAGAUGUACACUAAAUUGGAGUGUACAAGUAGCUUU
rnacentral:lncRNA from 1 species